GUUUUUUUCCUACAACUGAGUCAACUACAAAGUAUUGUAUACUAGCACUAUACAUUAUUUUGAGUUUUGCUCAAUAUUUGGGUAGAUUGAGAAUACAUUUUAUCACUCAAAUGGAUAUCAAUAUUUUAAUCAAUAAAAACAAAAUAGCCAUUAUUGUGAUUAUUACUAACAUGCAGGUGAGUAUCUAGGAUGCGCCAGGUGCUGAGCUGUUUUCCAUUUUACCCUCAAAGCUAUGAGGAAGACACUGGUGAUUUAUUUAAUAAAUAGUGAAACUAAGACCAAAAGAACAAACAGCUAAGAAAUGGUGUCAGAGCUCAGCAUGUACUGCAAAAGAAGUUGCCUACAUCCAUGAAGUCCAUAAGCCAAUAAGCCAGGGUCACAGUACCAUCUCUCCAAGACACUCCAAUCUACCCCUCCACAAUAUUCAGUCUCAUAUUGUCCACAUACUUAGAAACAACUCUGGCAUGAAAAGCCAUAUUCAUUCAGCCCUAUGCAUUUGUUCCAUUAACGUGCUAAACAAAUAUGUAUGGAGGACCUUAUUUUGUACUAAGCACUCUGCUAUUUGCUAUGAGAAAUUCAAAGUUACUCAACUUCUAACUCCUAUUUACCACAGGAUCUGACACACAGUGACAGGUAAACGAUUAUCCAAAAUAGGGUUCCAGGAAGGAUCUCAGCAGAAAAGGAACAUUCCGCCAGCCAAUCUCUGGUUCCAAGCCCAUCUUUCAAUCCUCUUCAUCCACUUGAGUUCAACAAAAGCUUCUUAAAGUUCCUCCAAACACACCUAUAUCCCCAUCUGUUUGGAAUGAUGUCCAUUACUUCACUAACCCCCACAAAUCUUUUAUGUCUCAAGUCACACCUCUUUUGAAAGUUUCAUUUUUCAUGCAUCAUUCAAGAGUCUCUCCUUUCCAUUGCAAUCUGAGAACUAAAAGGUAUCUAGAGGGAGGGAAAGACAACAAAUGCAGGUCCAUGAAGAGCUGGGUGCUACAUAUAUGCUAUUUUAUAGUAUUUUAAUAAGCCUGCAGAGUAGGUAUCAUGUAACAGAUUCAAACCAUCUCUGAUUUUUUUCUGUGUUAUUGUUUUACUCCUUAUCAUACAUCAUAUUUGAACUUUUGAAUGUGGUAUGUCUAACUUCUUUACCCAUUAAACUGUUUAUUUAGUAGCUUUAUAUUAAAAAAAUUAUAAGACAAAAGAAUGCUUUUUUGAUUACCAAGUCCUACAGAUAGUAUUUUAGCCGACCAAUCUUAUGCUUUACACAAAACACAACUUUCUCUGUCUUUUCAUCUGUCCCUGUGCAGUGUAUUAUUAUAUUACCCAUUUGAGGCAGUUACCAGAUUCAUCCUCUCCUUCCAAUAACCAGAUCAAAAUUCACACCAUCAAGAAUCAGUCUUCCAUCUAAAUUAUAUCAUUCCUUGUUUUGUACUUUUUUUUGUACUGUUUUGCAGACUUAAACUUUUCUGUUUCUCAUGUUUUGACUUGUACUUACUCAUUCAUUGUGCUUUGAUAACUUAUAAAUCUCUUCUUAGUCCCUUGUUUUUUUUUUCCCUAGAAGAACAUAAUCCUUCAUGGUGGAACCCAGGCUCUUGUUUCCUUUGCUUCUCCCAGAACACCUAGCAGAGGGCCCUCUGUACACAGUAGGUAUUAUACUCAUGUACAAUCAAUGUGGAAAGAAACUAGUCACUCCAGUUACACAGUGGAAAAUCUUCCUUUAUCAUCUUAACAAUUGUUAGAUUUAUGAUUUAUUCUUAACAAAAGCAUAUGGUCUUCUUUCCAGGAACAAUGAAUAUUCUUUUGCUACCUGAUAUACUAUGUUGAGUGGUCACUAGAAUGAACACUAAAUCAAGUACUAUCCUAAGAACACCAAUUUCAGAGAAAGCCUUAAAAUAGAUUGUUGUGGCAAUUAAUAUAUAGCCUAAAUCAUUAGACAUAAACUCAGAAUCCCUAGUUCUAUCAGCUUCUAUCACUCUACAAAGACACUUUAUUUCCCUAAGGAUUUGGCAUGUACUUGGAGCUUUAUCUCAUCCAUUACUAGUCCAUUCUCCCCUUCACCUCUAAUGGUAUCUCUUUGAUCAGGAAUGUCUAGAACGUCUCAACAAUUUAAACAACUUACAGUGAAAAUUUCUUCUUUCAGAGAAAUUACUGAAUAACAUUUAAGUCACAGGAAUGAUACAUAUCACCAACCCUGCAGUUCAUUCAAGUGUUUUAAAAUGUGCCUGCCAGAUCUAUACUGGAAGUUGUUCCCCUGCCUUUCAAGGAACUACUAGGCAGGAUAGAUACUGCCUAGAAGAGGGCAGGUGGAUACUUAAAAAAUACUUAUGACUAUAACUGAUCAUAAAUAAAGUUCUAGAAUCCUAAAAAGGAAAGAACUUCACUCUAUCAUGAGAUACCAGACAAGUGUCCCAAAUGGACAAAGGAUUCAGGACUGAAAGUGAUUCCAGGUUAGAAGUAAAGAAAACAAGCAAACCUAUGUACAAAGAGGAGCCUGGCAAAACAUGGAGGAAGGGGUAAAAUAUGCAAGCUCAUUCUCUAUCUCAUGCUGAAGAUCUUGACCUCGCCCUGGAGGGCAGUGAUACUUGAUUAGGGAUGAAUUUUAUUUCAGUGCAGAAGAUAUUCAUGAUUUUUCUAGGAAUGCUGAAUAGAAACAAGAAUGGUCAGCAACACAUAGAAAGGUCUGAGAAGCGGAAAUUACCAGAUCAGGAAGGAAAAGUUUCAGAAAUGUUAGGCAGGGGAAAACAGCAGGAUCAACUGGUCAAAUAUAUACAAAAGUCAUUAGUUUGUUUUCUGAAUAGUAUGAGCUUCCAAAAAAAUACAAAUAAUAAACAAAGAAGACAGAAAAAAUAUAAACAUUUUGCCUACUCAGUCUUCAAAAUUUCUUUACAGCUAUUCUUUAGAAAAGUUAUCAGAAAUUUCAGAGAGAUUAGAUCAAAAGAACAAGCAAAGCAAGUGCCUGUUUUUCCUCAUGUUUCCCCCAAACUUAAAUUACCGUGUAGAAAAAAGGAAAGAAGAGGAGGAGGACAAGAAAUAAUUUUGUUGUUAAAAGAGAAGAACUUUUACUUGGGGGCUGGGAUACAAAAGAUAAUCUGAGUAGACCAUAAAUUAAAAGAACUUUUAGAAACUAGAAAGUUAUUGGGAUUAGAUUGCUUAAAAAUAUAUGUGAAUAGCAGCCAGAACCUGUACAUGUGAGAAAUGAUGGCAAGGACAGGUCCAGAACCUGUAUGAGAGGCAGGAUGUGAGAGAGACCUGCAGGAGGAGAAGGCGGGCCCAGAGGUCAAGACAGGAAAACCCCAGCCCUCUCCUGUCCCCUUAAAUCUCACUCUGAAAAUCAUAGGGUACCUUAUAGGAAGACAAUAAUAUAAAUGCAGAGGCCAAGGGAACCCAGGACAUCCUAAAAAGAUACUGCAAAGGCUCAAAUAGGAGUUCCACAUGGCUAAAAUAGAAGACAAAAGACAAAAUGAAACAUCAGCAAGCAGAGUGUAAAAGAUUAUUCACUAUACACCGGAUUCUACCAAGGAAUCCCAACUGAGGUGCAUAGAUAUAAGAAAUAAGACAGAAACUGACGCAAAAAGAAAAAAGUAUUUCAAAUUUAAGAACCUCUAGACAUAAGCUGAGAAAUCUAAAACUAAGUAAAGAGGAUCUAAGUGCACAUCUCUGGAAUCACAAAAGAAAAACAAAACAUUGGAAGAAAAAAAAAAUAUAUAUAUAUAUAUAUAGGAUAAAACAAAAGAAAAAUUUUGCAGUAAAAGACCGACUGAAAGGUCACACAGUUCCCCAGAUAAACUGUCAAGAGUAGGACCUGUCCUAUUAAAGUUACUAGAACUCUUUGAACAGCAAGGCAAAAAAUUCUAGUAACUUAUAGGGCAGAACAGAAAUCAGUCUCUUUUGCAUUUGUCUAAAGCAACAUUCAAAAACAGGAUUCAUUGGACACCACUGCCUUCCAGUUAUUCUUCUGGAUGGAGGAAUGUUCAUGAAAUUGUGGAAGAAGAAAAUAUAGAUGAGAUUUUUAAACCCAACCAAAAUCACUAAUUGUAAAGGCAACAAUGUUCAAAAAUAUAUGAACAAUUAAAAUCUUGUUCUCAUGGUGUCUUCUUAAGAAAUUUACUAAAAGACAAACUACAGUCAUCCAAGAGAUAGCUGGAAUAAAUACUAGCAAAGAGUGGAAAGACUGGCAUAAACACUGAAACUAAUUAUGGCACUAAAUUCCAAUCAAGUGUGUAAUUAUGAUGCUAUUUUAAAAUGUAGGUAAUUUAAGCCAUAACAAUAUGGAAAUGAUAAAAUUUACUAAAAAAUAGGAAAGCUGAAGAAGCAAGAAUAUAGUUUGUAGUAUAUAUAGCAUUACGAUGACUCUCUUAGUAACUAAGACCAAAGAUAUUUAAAUCUGAUAAAUCACAAAAGAAUUUUAAAUUAUUUGUCUUAUAAUGCUAAAGUCAGCUGGCAGAAAAGGAUAAGUGAAGAGAAAAAUAUUACUUUUAUUAUGGAUCAUCAGUGAGGAAAACUGCAUGAUCUUUAAAGCAACAAGGAGCUUAAAGGUUUUUCUACAGUUACAACAAUUACUACAUUUAAAAUGGAAAUAGAGACUGUUCUAAUAAAAAGAAAGCAAACACAGAACUAAGAAAGCAGAACACCUUAUGAAAUGUUGUUGAAAAAAUCUAUAAAUUGGAGAAUGUGAUAUAAAAUAAAUUACUAACACCAAAUUUAUGUUGUUCAGACUAUUAGAAUCAAACUCACCCACUGAAAGGAAAUACGCUUUCAGUUGCAUCACAGGCAGAUUUCACCUCAUUCUACAAUCACCUGACUGUUGAAGCUUGAGAACAAAAGGAUAGACAAAGAAAGACAAUCCCACUCUACCAUGGGAUAAAGAAGAGAAGAAGAAAGAAGGAAAAAAAGAAAGAAAGAAAAGAGGAAGGGAGGAAAUGAGGGAGGCUGGCAGAUCCUACAUCAGGCAAUAUUGAACUUGGGAUAAAAAGAACCAAACAAGCAAAGAAGAAAACACUACAAUGCUGAGUGUGAUUCACUUAUAUUCAUAUCAUAUCAGAUAUUCAUAUCAAAUAAUGAUAUGAAUAUCUAGGUAUUAUAUGAUACAUAUUUGUAACGCAAACUCUAUAGCAGGUAUAAAGAGUUUCAAAUGGUAAUACGUUAUUCAUAGAUUAUUAUUCAACCCUCUCAAAGCAUGAAUCACAAAGGGAUUAAAAAAAGUAGAUAAAAAAUACUAAGAACAUACAUAGGUUGACAUAAUAACAUAGAUUUAAUUGAUAUAUAUUUAACUGUAAGGUAAAAUCAUAAAACAAACCUUCUCUUUAAGAAAUCGGCCUUAAGGAAGGGGAAAAAAUGUGGUCUCAUUUGAAGUGAAAGUUAAAAUCCCAGUAAAUUCUAGGAUUAUAGGCUACUACAGUUUCUAAACACAAUGCAAUUAAAGAAAAGUCACUAAGAAAAUCUGUAGUUAAGAAGCUCCUAGCAUCUGAAAAUUUUAAGACCCAAAUAACUGUCAGGAAAACAGAAAUUCUAAAAUAUCUAUGCAAUAAUAAGUAUAAUGCAAACACUAUGUAUCAUAUUUUAUAUGGCUAAAAAGGUUCUAAGACUACAAUUCACAACCUUAAACACAUACCUAUUAAACAACAAGGAAAAUAAAUCCACUAACAUCCAAAAUUAAGAGAAUUUCACUAAAUUAAACUUGAAGAAAACAAAAAAUAUUGAUGUGGGUAGAAACAGAAAUUAAGACUUAGGGGAAAAAAAGCAAAACAAUAAAAUUAAUAAGUAAGUCUCAGAUUUCUUUUUUGGGUAAAAGAAUAAAACAGGAAAAUACUGUAACAAAUCUGAGGCCUAAAAAGGGAGAAAAUGCCAAUAUGCAAAACAAGAAAUAAACAGAGAAAAGAAGCUAAAAGAAUCAUAAGAAACUACUACCCCCAACUUUAUGCAAAUAAAACCUGAUGAAAUGGAUAUCUCCAUGACAAUAUAAUUUAUACACAUCCAUUCCAAAAAGCAGAAAAUUCAAAGACACCAAUUACCAUAGAAGAAAUACAGAUAAAAUUGUCAAAGAGAUACUUCCCCCCAAAGUGACAUAGUCCAAACAGUUUAAUUUACAAAGAAAUUUCACAUAGCCUUAAGAAACAGAUAAUUUCAAUACCAAAUUGUUUCAAAGCAAAGAAAAUGUUAAAUUACCACCAAGAAUGUUAGAUUAGCAACAUCAAUAAGAAAAGCAUUUCCUUACCAGAUGUGCUUAGUAUACAAAGAGAAUGUAGUCAUCCAACUAAUUGCUUUAAGUGGGGGAGGGGAGGAACAGGAAAAAGAAGGAACUGCAGAAUUAAACUGACCAAAUCAUGUCAUGUACAUAUAUGAAUAUACCACAGUGAAUUUCACCUUUAUUAAGUCGAAUAUCUAUAAAGUACCUAUUUUUUAAAAAUCAAUAAAUAUUCCAAUAGAGAAGAGGAGGAAGAACAGGGGNAGGUGUCUUCUUGAGAAAUUUACUAAAAGAUAAACUACACUCAUCCAAGAGAUAAAUGGAAUAAAUACUAGCAAAGAGUGGAAAGACUGGCAUAAACACUGAAACUAAUUAUGGCACUAAAUUCCAAUCAAGUGUGUAAUUAUGAUGCUAUUUUAAAAUGUAGGUAAUUUAAGCCAUAACAAUAUGGAAAUGAUAAAAUUUACUAAAAAAUAGGAAAGCUGAAGAAGCAAGAAUAUAGUCUGUAGUAUACAUAGCAUUACGAUGACUCCCUUAGUAACUAAGACCAAAGAUAUUUAAAUCUGAUAAAUCACAAAAGAAUUUUAAAUUAUUUGUCUUAUAAUGCUAAAGUCAGCUGGCAGAAAAGGAUAAGUGAAGAGAAAAAUAUUAGUUUUAUUAUGGAUCAUCAGUGAGGAAAACUGCAUGAUCUUUAAAGCAACAAGGAGCUUAAAGGUUUUUCUACAGUUACAACAAUUACUACAUUUAAAAUGGAAAUAGAGACUAUUCUAAUAAAAAGAAAGCAAACACAGAACUAAGAAAGCAGAACACCUUAUGAAAUGUUGUUGAAAAAAUCUAUAAAUUGGAGAAUGUGAUAUAAAAUAAAUUACUAACACCAAAUUUAUGUUGUUCAGACUAUUAGAAUCAAACUCACCCACUGAAAGGAAAUACGCUUUCAGUUGCAUCACAGGCAGAUUUCACCUCAUUCUACAAUCACCUGACUGUUGAAGCUUGAGAACAAAAGGAUAGACAAAGAAAGACAAUCCCACUCUACCAUGGGAUAAAGAAGAGAAGAAGAAAGAAGGAAAAAAAGAAAGAAAGAAAAGAGGAAGGGAGGAAAUGAGGGAGGCUGGCAGAUCCUACAUCAGGCAAUAUUGAACUUGGGAUAAAAAGAACCAAACAAGCAAAGAAGAAAACACUACAAUGCUGAGUGUGAUUCACUUAUAUUCAUAUCAUAUCAGAUAUUCAUAUCAAAUAAUGAUAUGAAUAUCUAGGUAUUAUAUGAUACAUAUUUGUAACGCAAACUCUAUAGCAGGUAUAAAGAGUUUCAAAUGGUAAUACGUUAUUCAUAGAUGAUUAUUCAACCCUCUCAAAGCAUGAAUCACAAAGGGAUUAAAAAAAGUAGAUAAAAAAUAAGAAAAACAGACAGAGAGAGACAGAAAAACAGAGAUUUAAUUAAUAUACAUUCAACUGCAAGGUAAAAUAAUAAAACAAACCACAUCUUUAAGAAAUCGGCCUUAAGGAAGGGGAAAAAAUGUGUCUCAUUUGAAGUGAAAGUUAAAAUCCCAGUAAAUUCUAGGAUUAUAGGCUACUACAGUUUCUAAACACAAUGCAAUUAAAGAAAAGUCACUAAGAAAAUCUGUAGUUAAGAAGCUCCUAGCAUCUGAAAAUUUUAAGACCCAAAUAACUGUCAGGAAAACAGAAAUUCUAAAAUAUCUAUGCAAUAAUAAGUAUAAGCAAACACUAUGUAUCAUAUUUUAUAUGGCUAAAAAGGUUCUAAGACUACAAUUCACAACCUUAAACACAUACCUAUUAAACAACAAGGAAAAUAAAUCCACUAACAUCCAAAAACAAGAAAAUCUCACUAAACUAAACCUGAAGAAAACAAAAAAUAUAGAUGUGGGUAGAAAAAGAAAUAAACACUUAAAGAAAAAAAAGCAAAACAAUAAAAUUAAUAAAUAAAUUUCAGAUCUCUUUUUUGGGUAAAAGAAUAAAACAGGAAAAUACUGUAACAAAUCUGAGGCCUAAAAAGGGAGAAAAUGCCAAUAUGCAAAACAAGAAAUAAACAGAGAAAAGAAGCUAAAAGAAUCAUAAGAAACUACUACCCCCAACUUUAUGCAAAUAAAACCUGAUGAAAUGGAUAUCUCCAUGACAAUAUAAUUUAUACACAUCCAUUCCAAAAAGCAGAAAAUUCAAAGACACCAAUUACCAUAGAAGAAAUACAGAUAAAAUUGUCAAAGAGAUACUUCCCCCCAAAGUGACAUAGUCCAAACAGUUUAAUUUACAAAGAAAUUUCACAUAGCCUUAAGAAACAGAUAAUUUCAAUACCAAAUUGUUUCAAAGCAAAGAAAAUGUAAAUUACCACCAAGAAUGUUAGAUUAGCAAAUCAAUAAGAAAAGCAUUUCCUUACCAGAUGUGCUUAGUAUACAAAGAGAAUGUAGUCAUCAACUAAUUGCUUUAAGUGGGGGAGGGGAGGAACAGGAAAAAGAAGGAACUGCAGAAUUAAACUGACCAAAUCAUGUCAUGUACAUAUAUGAAUAUACCACAGUGAAUUUCACCUUUAUUAAGUCGAAUAUCUAUAAAGUACCUAUUUUUUAAAAAUCAAUAAAUAUUCCAAUAGAGAAGAGGAGGAAGAACAGGGGGAGUAGGAAGGAAAGAGAAGUACUAGGGACUUGAAAUGGAGCAAAUAAUACAUACAUGUAUAUAGUAGGUCAAAAUGAACCCCAAUAUCAUGUAUAACUACAAUGCACUAAUACAACCAUUUUGAAAAAAUAAAAAUAUUACAAAUGUCCAUCAAUUACAAAAAGUAUCCAUAAUCUUUAAUCAUUAGGGAAAUGCAAAUCAAAACUACAUUGAAUUUCCAUUUCACCCCAGUCAGAAUGCCAAUCAUCAAGAAAACAAAUAAUUACUGCUGGAGAGGAUGCAGGGUAAAAGGAACUCUUACACACUUCUGCUGGGAAUAUAUAUUAGUCCAGUCACUAUGGAAAUGAGUACAGAGGUUCCUCAAAAAACUAAAAAUUAAACUACUAUAUGAUCCUGCUAAAUCACUUGUCAGUAUUUUAGCGGCAAGUAUUAAAGUUAGCAUACUAUAAAGGUACUAGCAUAUUCAUGUACAACAUGGCAUAAUUCACAAUAUCCAAGUUAUGUAAUCAUCCUAGUUGUCACAGAUGAAUAAAGAAAAUGUACUAUAUUUGUACAAGGAGCAAUAUUCAGUCAUGAAUAAAAACAAAAUUAUGUAAUUUGCAGGAAAAUGGAUGGAACUAUAGAUAAUCACAUUAAGUUAAAUAAUCCAGACUCAGAAAGACAAGUGUCCUGUUUAUAUGUGGAAGCUGUGGGGAUUGUGGGAAGGACAGAAUAAAUGUAGAAGCGAGAUCAUUAGGGAAGUGGAAGAGGACAAGGGUAGGGAAAGGAAAGAGUGGUAAUGGGGAGUGAAACUGAUCAAAUUAUGAUGUAUUCGAGUAUAAUAUACCAGAGUGAAAUCUACUGUUGUGUACAAUCAAUAUGCACCAAAAAAAGCAAUCAGCAAUUAGUAUAUUAAGAUCCAGGGGCUGGGGUUGUGGCUCAGUGGUAGAGCACUCACCUAGUAUGUGUGAGCCACUGGGUUUGAUCCUCAGCAUUAUGCAGAUAAAUAAAUAAAUGAAUGGAAUGAAGGUAUUGUGGUAAUCUAUAUCUUUAAAAAAAUUCUUUAAAAAUUCUAACUUUAGAAACUGAAGAAUGUGACCCAAAAAGGCUUGCUUUUGCAUAUGCCUUUUCUCUGUGUUUAAUGAAAAUAUACCCAUUUAUGUAAUCAUGAAAUGAAUACACACUCUUCUGUUUCACCUCACAUCCUCUCCAAAUGAAUUCUUGUUGAUUUAAAGAAAAUAGAAAAGCUUGUCUUUCAAACCAACAUGGAUGAACAUGCAGGAGUUUACAUUAAGUGCUGUAAGGCAGACACAAUGAAUCAUUGACUGCUACAUCUUACUCACAUGAAGAAUCUGAAGAGGUGAACCUCGAGAUGAACAGAGUAAAAUGAUGGUUACUAGGGCUGUGCUGGUUGGGGUGCAGAUGUAAUGUUGGUCCAAAACAAAAAAAAAAUUGUAAUUUCAUAGGUAUAAGAAUGUCAGAGUUCUACUCAAAACAUGGUGAGAGUAAUUAGUAUAUUGUAUUCUUGACAAAUACUAAUAGAAUGCAUUUAAAGUGUUCUAACGUAUUCUAAGUACAAAAUGAUAGUUACAUGAAAGAAUACAUAUGUCAAUUAGCUAUAUUUGGUCAUUGCAUCUUGUAUAUCUACUUUAAAACAUCAUCCUACACAUGGUAAAUACAACUUAAUUUGUCAGUAAAAUCAAUCAAUAAAAAUAUUUUUAAUUUUUUUAAAAUAAAAUAAAGUUUCUGACAGACUUGGGUAUGUGGUGGUUGUAAAAGGAAGUGUGUGUGUGUGUGUGUGUGUGUGUGUGUACAUACAAAGCUCAACAGUUGGUACUGAAAAUUAAUGGAAAAAGAAUAAAGCAUUCCAAAAAGUCUUACUGUAGCCAUUUAAGUAAGCUAAAGCUGCAGACUUUUCACCUAUCACUAUACACUAAAAAUAGCCUCCAAUAUUUGAAAAUUAUAAUGAAAUUUCUAAAAAUUAACUAAUUUAUAAACAUGUAAGAAGAUAUAAUUCAAGAUUCUUUGAUAAUUUUGUAGUGGAAAAAUUCUUAAACACUUUACCUAAGAUCUAAAAUACAUUUAAAAAAUCAAAAACUUAACUUAUAAAUAUUUAAAUGUAUACAGCAUUAAAAAUCCAAACAUAAAAUUCAAAUACAAAGCAGAUUGAGAAAAGAAAGAACUAAUAGUCAGAAAAUCCAAGCAUUCUUAAAAAUGUGCAGAAAAUAAUUAACCCAAAAGGAAAAUGAAUGGAUAAUAAACAAAUCUCUCUCUCUCUCUCUCUCUCUCUCUCUCUCACACACACACACACACACACACACACACACAUACACACACACACAAUAUACCACUGAACACAUUCUCUUGAAAAGAUAACCUCACUAAUAACAAGAGAAAAGCAUGUUAAUUAUUGGGCAUCUUUACUAGUUGGGACAAAAGUUUAAUAAUUAUAAUGUUAAAUGCUGGUCCAAGUGCCGAGUGAUAGUAGUAUUCUUCAAAACUGAUAAAAAGGAUAUAACAGACAUUAUGGGAGGAAAUUUAGCAGCAACUAUGUGUAUCUUGAGAAGCCCUGCCCUUUCACAUUAUCACUCCUUUUCUGAUUUUCUUCUUGACCUAUUAAUGAUCAUAUUUAGAAAGGUAUCUGGAAUAAAUAAUGUUCACCAUAUCAUUGCUUACAAGAGAAAAUUUUAACAACAAUUAAUAUAUCGGGCACAUUAAUUAAUGGGCACAUGUCAAUAAAAUGUAGAGCAUUCCAACUAUGAGAUAUUUUGUGACAAUUGAAAGAACUAAGGAUAAACUAACAGAAAAGAGUAUCAAAUGUAUUAUUACAUAAAAUUUUUUGAAUACUUAUUAAAUAUUACAUCAUUUGUGUAAAAUCAAACAAAACACUGUAUGUUUUUACAUAUACACAAAAGUGUAGAUAAGCCCAUAGAAAAAGAGCUAGUAGAAUCCAUACCAAAUUUUUAACAAUCUUGAUCCCUAGGGGGAAAAAUGAGAUUGAGAAAAGAUAUGAUUAUGAUGUGGCUAAUUUUAAUGUAUCUAUUUUCAUUUUUAUGUCAUUUAUUAUUCAUGGUAAAACUAAACUUUAAAAAGUCUUAAGAUCACUCAAGUUAAAUGAUGAAUACUUAAAAACAAAAAGCAGAGUUCCAGGAUCUCAGAGUGCUAAAUGAUCCACAAUGACCUCUGAGGAAUUCUCACUGUAUUAUUUGCUCCUGAACAAUUACCUAUGGUAUUGGCAUUUAAUGUUCUAUAGUAUUCAUUUUUUUUAAAAAAAAAUAUUUUCUAUGUAGGAAAGCAGCACUUAUGUAAUCAACAAACAUGAGAAUUGUUUAUAAGAUCCUCUCAUGUAACUGUGUACCUAGUUAUUUUCUAAACUGUGUACUUUGUAAACUCUGUCAAAUGGUCAUUUGACAUGCCUUGAAAACUUCCAGUAACAGAAAGGUUAAGUAUGGCCUUGUGUUGAAUAUCUCUGUACCCUGUAACCACUGGGUUCUUGUCCCAUGGCAGCUCUUCCAUUGGCUAGAUGAAGGUGUGCUCUUUCUCCUGUGAAUCCCCUAGCUGUGCUUAAUUCUUCAAGAAACUGAAGCAAACUCUAUUUUAUAAAGAGGAAAUAAGAAAAACAUUUUGUUUGUACUACCAGACAUACUGCCAUCCUAUUUUAUGUGUCUUUCACCUUCCUUCUUAUCAGUUAAAUUAGAAAGAUUUCCCUUCUUCCCUCUAGGACUAGUAGGAUUUGGAUAUGUAAUAUUCUCCAACAUCUCAAGUGUGAGAUGAUGGAGGAAUGUUCUGAGGAGAAAUGAUUAGAAUAUUACAGCUGUAAUAUGAUCACAAAAUUAAUCCACUUGAUGGAUUAAUCAUUUGGAUGGAUUACUGUGUGGUAAUUGCCUACAGGUAGGGCAUGGCUGGAGGAAGUAGGUCAAUGGAGGUGUGCCUCUGGGGUUUAAAUUUUGUCCCUGGUGAGUGAAGCUUUCUCUGAUUUCUGGUUGUCAUAUUUUGAGCUGCUUUCCUAUACCAUGCCCUCCUGCCAUGAUGAUCUGCCUUACCUUGGGCCCAGAGUAGUGAAGUUGGAUCACCAUGGACUAAAUCCAUGAAACCUUAGGCCAAAAUAAACUUUUGUUCUUCUAAGCUGAUCUUGUCAGGUCUUUUGGUCACAGCAAAAAUAGCAAAAAAAACUGAUUAAACACCAGAACAAUUGUGUUUGGUCCCUGUAUNCUUAGGAGAAAUGAUUAGAAUAUGACAGCUGUAAUAUAAUCACCAAAUUAAUCCACUUGAUGGAUUAAUCAUUUUAAUGGAUUACUGUGUUGUAAUUGCCUACAGGUAGGGCAUGGCUGGGGGAAGUAGGUCAAUAGAGGUGUGCCUCUGGGGUUUAAAUUUUGUCCCUGGUGAGUGAAGCUUUUUCUGCUUUCUGGUUGCCAUAUUUUGAGCUGUUUUCCUAUACCAUGCCCUCCUGCCAUGAUGAUCUCCUCACCUUGGGCCCAGAGUAGUGAAGUUGGAUCACCAUGGACUAAAUCCCUGAAACUUAAGCCAAAAUAAACUUUUCCUCUUCUAAGCUGAUCUUGUCAGGUCUUUUGGUCACAGCAAAAAUAGCAAAAAAACUGAUUAAACACAGAACAAUUGUGUUUGGUCCCUGUAUCAGGCUGACUAACACCCCCACCCUUUGUCUUUGCCCUGGAAGCUAUGAAUAUGUUAUCUUCCCUGGAUCUCUGCAGGUAUAAUUAAGUUAAGAAUUUUUAUAAGAGAAGAUAAUCCAAAAUUUUUCAAGCAGGCUCAAUGUAAUUAUAAGGAUCCAUUUCUGGCCUUCAAAACUGUAUGAUUAAAGAAAAAGGUGUUGUUUUAAGCCACUAAAUUUACUGUAAUUUGUUACAGCAGCAAUAGAAACCAAUACAUCCCCUUUCUUUCCCAGCUUCUUGGAAAUUUCAUUUUAGGAGGUCUUCUCUCUACUGGAUAUUUAACGUUUUCUCAAUAAUAUUCCUUGCACUGGCAUUUAAACAUAUGCAAACUUCCUAAUUUAAAAACAAAGCAAAACAGAAAACACUAAAAUUCCAUUCAAAUAAAAUACCUUUUUUUUUCUUUUUAAACCAACUGUUAGUAUCAUAUUUACUUUUGUUUUUCUAUUGUUAGCAUUAACUUGGGAAGAUUCAGUUUGAUCCCAGGUCCUAUAUACUCAAAAUGUGGUUUUUAUAUGAAAUGAUCUUUAAGAUUUUUUUCCAUUUAUAAAGGAAAAAAAUAAUCAAUCUAAACUUAAAAAGACAUUCAUUUCCUGAAAAAAGGGAAUAUAUUUGUAUAUUUAACAGACAUCUGACUGGCAACAAGUCCCUACAAUUUAAAACUUCUAUUCAGAUGGAGGGCUUAAGUACCACUCUCUUAAAUAUCAUCAUCAUCGCAAAAAUAAAAAGGAAUAUGUUGGCUGGCUACAAAUCAAUGUCAUCCUGCUGACUUAAGACAAAAAAUUGUGAUUGAUCUUCUCUUACAUAUUAGAAGUCAUACAUAAUAAACCUCCAUGCAAUGUCUUGCCCUAGUCUUCUUCAUACCUAUCAAGAAACUUCCAGUGCCUUUAUAAAAGCUACACAUUUCCUAACCAGGAAUUCUGCAACUUAGGUAUUGGAUCUUUCAGUAUCUUCCAUUUCAUCAGUGGGAAAUAAGUAGAAUAGAUAACACAAUGUGAAACAGAUCUUGACCCUCAGAUUUAUUACCACUGAUUCUGAGUGAUGUCAGUUUACUUUCAAAUUAUUUACAAAGAAAUAACAAGUUUGAUGGUAUAAGAAAUUUCAUUAAAAUGCACAAUAUUUUCAGUCACAAGCAGCAUUACAGUUGAUUGUCUUUUUUCAUAUAAAUGCUUGACAGGAAAAGGACUGAAAUCUGAGCAAAUAAUUCCCCCAAAUCUGGCAGUAAUCCUAUAUCACUAGUAAGCACUCAUAGCUAUUCAUAAAAAUCAAUACUUAAAAUCUGCUGAGAGGAGGUUUUAUGGGUUCCUAUCACAUGCAAAAAUAAUAACUAUGUACAUGAUGUUGUAACAAACAUGUCACAAUAAAUACUUACAAAAACACCAUGUUGUACAUCUUCAGUGUACACAAUUUUUGUUAAUUAUACCCCAUCAAAGCUGAAAAUAAGAAAUAUCAGGAAAUGACCAUAUAGAUAAUAAAAAAAAAACUUUAAAGUCAAGGGUCAACAAAGUAAAUUUGAUUACAGUCAGCUCCAUUAAACAAAACAAAACAAAUUCUAAAUUUACACAAAACAUUGCAAUGCAGCAAUGGCUGCAAUGUGUCCAGUUCUUCAUUCAUUCAACACAUUCACUGAACACAGUUACACAAGAGGUACUACUGGGUCUUGGAGAUCAUAGAGGAGUGUGACACCAGUCCUGCCUAAUGUCACUUAAAUGGGUUAGGUUAGUUGCUAUAAGAAAUGCACAAAUAAUGUGCUUUGGAACAUAAAGAGAAAUAGAAUAUGGAGUGACAGAGAUUGGCAAAGGCUUUGUAAAAGAGGCCAUGGAGAUGGGCCUUAGAAGAAUGUUCUAAUAUGUAAGAGAAGAUCAAUCAUAAUUUUAGAAGAAUCUUAGAAGAAUUAGAAGAAUUUUACUGUUAGAAAUGGGAGGUGGGGAAAAUUCCAGUCUAAAGCAACAGUGUAAGAUAGAUCUGAGAAACAGAAUAAUAUAUUUGGAUUAGAUUGAAGGAGUAUGUAGAGAAGGGGAACAAAGUAGGAAAGUUUAAUUGGAGCUAAUCUUUUGAACAACUUGACAAGUAAGCUGAGAAAUCUGAUAUUAACUUUUAACCAAUGGAGAGCCACUUAAUAUUUUUAAAGCAGUGUGACCUGACCAGAACUGUUUUUCUGGAAAGAUUAACUUGGAAGCCAUUCAUCAGAUGAAGCCACAUAGAAAUCUUAUAGAUGCCACUGUUUUCUUUGUAGACUCUACCUUAAAGCAAACCUAAGAGUCACCCUUUUGUGUAACAUUCUACCUCCAUUUCCAUGUAUACUUUGUUUGACCCAUUUCUAGAUGCUGACCUCUGUAUUUGACAUUUAACACACAGGCUACAAUAUCCAAAGAAGCUUUCAAAAAUGAGCCAGUGUUACCUUGGGGAAGACCAGAGUCAUGUUCAAUAACCUUCAUGCUAAAAACAGCCUAGCCAUCACUUUAAGAGCCAGAAGUCUAUAUUUAGAUUCAAGUGCUUUGAUCAAAAUGAUAAGCUUACAGAAGCAAGACUUCUGAAGGAGAGAAAAUAAUUACCAUAUUGGGUACUGGCUUCCCUGGGGUUAUAAUUUCCAUUUUAUAAUAAUGCAAUUGAUGAUCAAAGAUGUUAGAGGUUAACUUGCUUAAAACCACAAGGCUGACUUAAUGCUUGGCAAAAUUUGAACCCGAAGGGGAAAACAGAAGAGAGAAAAUAAUGACACAUAUAAUGUGCUCUUAGCUGAAUAAAAAUUAAUGUAGGUUUGAGAUUAAAUGAGCCUACCAAGUACAAAGCAGGAAUAGUUUUCAUAAGACAAUUUUAACAUAUUGUAAUAAACUACAUAAUACCAACAAGAGAAAAACUGCAGAUCUUCCAAAGAGAAUAUUAAAAACUAAUAAACAAAACAAACAAGAAUCAGAUUACAAACUUUUAACCUGCAAAACUGGACACUGGAUGACAAUAAACUCAUAUCUUCAAAGUUCUGUGAGUAAAAUUAUUUUGAGCCUAGAAUUCUAUACCAAGCCAAAUAAUUUAACACAAGUGAAGGGCAAGUGACAUUCUUUUGGAAAAAUAAAAAGACCCAAUCACUAAUGAACACCCUACUUCAGACCCUGGGCCAGGCACUAACUAUCUUGGGUAGAUUACUCUGUCCAAGAUAGUUUCUCUGCAUAAGAGAGGUGUCCUUGAGCUAAUAUACAUUUUUUUUUUAAAUCCCUUGAUUGGAAAGCUGCAUUCCCCAAACAUGUUUAAUUGCAGUGUCUCUAUAGUAAUUGUCUUUAAUAUAGGGAAUUAUCUUUAAUAUAGAUAUUGACAUAAUGCUAUAUUGCUCAUAUCUGUCAAAUCUCAUAAAGCAGACUAACAACAUUAUUGCCAAUAAAGGAAAAGAGGGAAGGAGGGGUUCAGUUAAUCAAUUAGUUUAAAUCCAAUAAGAAGUUCAAGACAAAGGUCUUCACUCAUUUUUAUUUUACCCAGAGUCUAUUAACCUUACCAAUUAGAAACUGACAUUUAAGAUGACCUUCCUAAGCAAUGUUCAUCUAGAUAUAGGGAAAAAAGGGAAAGAAAAAUUGCCUAGACAUAAAACUUUUCUUACAGAAGUAAAAAUAUUACAUGGGGGAUAGGAGGAGCCCCUGCAGUCCACAUACUAGUAGAGCACAGAAGGACCUUUCCAAAGGUGGUGUUCGUAAUGGCAAUUUCUGAAGUAAAACUCCAAUUCAGAAGAGAAUCCCUGCACUCCUUUAGGCCUUCCAACCCACUCAUUCCUGUCCUUCCACAUCAGAACCAUGAUGAUCAUCAAAAUACUUAAGUCAAAUGGAAAAGUCAACCUCUGAUCUAUUGUUAACAGGUAAAUCUGUGUUCCCACUUUUGUUAAACUCUUUAUAGGUAACAGGAUUUAAACCUGUAGCCACCUCUUUAAAACAUUAUGCCACAUGGGAAAAUAUUUGAUUACUUCAGUGGUUCAUUUAACUGUUUCAUAAAGAAAAGAAAACUAACAGCAAUGCUCAGCCAAGGGUGAACAAGAAAUGCAUAAAUGUUGCCAAUGUAACUCAUCUUAACAGCAGCAUCUUUAUGUUCUCUCAUCAGACUCUCCUGAGCAGAUUGACUAGAACUACUGAAUUAAACAAGGGCCAAAGAAUUUAUGUACUCAAAUCAACAAACUAUCUGGUCUGCUAUGCUGUUUCUGCCAGUGGUCACAGCGGAAACUUUGAAAACGCAAAUGUGGACAUCAUUUUAGAGUUGUAUGUAGGUGGAGAGAAAACAUAUUCUUAACUGUAGUUGUGGGAGAUUAUGUAUUUUUUUACCUCAAGUUCAACUAUUGAUGAGGUGUGACUAUGUGAUAAUGAUAAUGAUUUAACAAAUAUACCAGAACAUAUGAGUGCAGCAGAUGCGUGAAAUCCUUCAGAAGUGACUGUCACAGAAGUUAUUUGGGUAGAUUUCAUCAUGUGCUUCUUCAUUCCAAGUUGUUUAAAAUAAACCUAUAUUUUUUAAAAUUUCAGGCAUCUUUAUCCAUUUGAUAGUUUAUUAACAAAGGGAAGACCAUGACCUUCUGGCAUAAGUGGGGAGAAACUGCAAGCUAUUUUUAGUUAAAUGGUUCUAAAAAUCAAUGCAAUAAAUUUUGAAUACUCAGCUGGCUGCAUGGAAGGUUUAUUUUAAGAAAAGGUGGCUUUUGUUUAAACUUCCAAGAAAACUUUAUUAGAAUUCCUAAUUCAGAAAAACCAUUCCAGAAAUUUCUUUUGGAUAACAUUCAUUUACAGUAGUAGGUGUUACUAUAAAUUUGGCAUAUUAGUUGCAAGUCAAAAUUGAUGAGGUAAAAUUAUAGUUUUUGUAUGUUGACUGUACACACCACAGUACAUGGAGGUCUCCUGUGGUCAAUGUGUACAUUUACAGACAUUUUAUAUGUGUUAAAAUAUAAGAUCAGUAAUCAACUGCUAUUUAUAGAAGUUUUUAGUUAUUAUAUUUUUGCUUAUAGGAAACCAUUUUACUAGGAUGCAUUUAGUUAAAAUCACAACUAUAAUACGUUAUGCUUUGGAAAAAUACUAUCCAUGUGAUUCUACAGAAAAAGUUUUAGACAUCUUAAAUCAUUAUUCUAAAAAUGUUCCUGUCCUAAUCAGUUUGGACUGCUAUUACCUACAGCUGGGUAGUUUAGAAACAAUGAAAAGUCAUUUCUCACCAUUCUGUAGACUGAGAGACCAAACUCAGGAGGACAGCAUAGGUAGGUUCUGACGAGGGCCUAACAUGGGUUCCACACAGCUGAUCAUUGUGUCCUCAGGAGGCAGAAAGCUUGCUAACUAGCUCUCUGAGUCCCUUUUAUGAUGGCACAAAUCAUUCAUAUGGGUUCCUUGCUUAUGACCUAAUUACUUCCCAAAGGCUUUGUCUCCUGAUAACCACCACAUUGGGACUUAGAAUUUCAACAUGAAUUUUAGGAGGCACCAAACAUUAAGCCCAUAAUAUUGCCCCCACACAAGCAAUUUUUAUACUUUUACUUGAGAAAACCAAGGUAUACAGGUCAUUCAAGAAACUCAGGUCUCAUUAUCUUUGUCAUAUAUUCCCCAGUUGAAUGCUCAUUCCAUAGAAUUGGCUUUAAACAGUUUUUUACUUUUUCUCAAAAGCAGAAAAUUUCAAGGAAUUAAGAUCAGUCACCAGUGGGAAUGCUUAAAGUAUUAUUAUUAAUCUCUAAAAACAAAAAUAGUUAUUCUAAAACUCUGAGCAGUAACAAUCAUUAGAAUCAUUUCCCAGUGACUACCUUGAAUGAGACCAUGUUCAUUUGGAUGUAUCAAUUCUGAUAUGAAACAAGUAAAUUAAUAAGAUGACCUUAAGCCUCACUCAGAUGAAUAAAACCCAACAGUUUGGAGAUAAAAAUCAUUAUUUAGAUUUUAAACUAGCACAAACUGACAUUCAAUUAUGCUCUAUAUACAGCACAUAUCAAGUGCCCUGACAUCAAAUGAAUCCUAUAACACAAAACCUGUGUCCUCUACAGAAUUAUUUCCACUAACCUAUGGCUGAAACUAAUUCAAUUUGCUUUGUAAAAGUGAUUUCACAUUUUUUAAAGUUUCACAAACAAGACUUAAUCAUGUUCUUCACUGAAUAAGCAGAAAAUAUUAACUCCAUUAUUUUGAUUCAAAGUGCUCUGAACAUACAACUGCACUGGUCCCAAUAUUCUAACUCAUAUUUGCAAAGCAGGACUUGCUUUAUGUUGAAAACAGUUAAAUCACAUGUGUAUAUAAUAUGCCAAUAUUUGGCUGUAAUCCAUUAUCAAUUGUGUUGUUUAUAAUACAGCAAAAUUAUUCAAUCUGAUGAAUUUCUAUCAGCUUCAAGAAACUGCUUUCAGUUCUAAUAUUAAGCUUGUUGGAGAUACUAAUGCACAGAAAUUUUUGUCUGUGUAUUUAUCUAAGAGUUUUUUCCAAGCCCAGAAGCUAAACAGAUAAAUGGACAGUUAAAAAUGCUUAGCCCACACAAACUUCUAUGUAGAAUGUAAAGUCUUUGUAAGAGUAGGGAUGGAGAAAAGAGCACAUGGGAAGAUGACAUAGCAUUUAUUUCCAUUGUCAUCUUCUCAUAAGAUACCUUCCAUCCCAGCCUGUCAAAUAAAGGGUUUUGACUGAAACAUUGCAUUGAAAUUACUCACUCAGUGACAAAAGUCUUUAAAAGCUUCAAAACCAAAAAAAAAAAAAAAAAAAUUCACCAUUUCCCUCACAUUCCCCUAACUAAUCACACCUCAUUCUGAGGCUCAGUCUUAAGGUUCUUUAGUGUUCCUUAUAAUAUUGAAUGAAAGUGAUCAGCCAGGAGUGUUGGCAUGUGCCCAGCUAUUUGAGAGACUGAGGCUUAAGGACUACAAGUGCAAGUCUAGUCUGGGCAAUAUGAUGAGACCUCCCAUAUCCAAAAAUAAAUAAAAUAAUUAAUGAAUAAAAAGAGGUCAAGGAAAAAGGCUGUCCUACUCAGGUCCAACAGCAACUAACAUCAUUGUCCUGUUAUUUUGUAAUUCUCAGACAACAGUAAGAAAGGAGAGAGAGAGAGAGAGAGAGAGAGAGAGAGAGAGAGAGAGAGAGCAUGCACACCCACUUACAUAGUGUCACUGAGUCAUGGUCCAAUUCCUCUCUUAGUUUUUCAUAUUGUAAGCAGGAUGCAUGCACGUGAAUGAAAACCACGUGGACAGAGGUUACGUGAACAAAAUAUGAGUACUGGCUGAUAUCAGCUAUGACUGGCAUCUCAGUCUGUGAUGCCCAGGAGAUAGGGCCUCCAGCUCAGAGGCAGCUUAUUCAGGGUUGGGUCCCAAAGGUCUCACUGAGAUCAAUAGACUAUAGGCAGUCUCUGGGCCAUUCGAGAAGUGUCUGCUGAGACUCCCAGAAUAACAGAGAACAAAGACGGGCUCGCUUCUCUUUGUUCACUUUGUAUAUGCUUUGAAUAUAGAAGAACAUGGUGCUAUAUAGACAAUUUUUUACACAUAUGGAAAUAGUAUUUAUGAACACGAGUGUAAGUAUCUACCUCAGUGUUUCUUUUCAGGGUUGCUAUGUUUCCCUCUCUGCAUCUCUACUAUGUCUCCAUAUCCAUACCUCUUUGAUCUUUUAUUCCUCAAUCUUUUUAAUUCCCCCUUGAUAAGCCUUGUGUUUAAAAAAUAUGUGAUUGCAAGUGCAAAAAAAAAUCCUAAAUUAUAAUUAAUGCAAAUAAUUUUAACUUAUACAGUAGUCCCCCUUUAUCAAACUCCCAGUGUAUGCCUGUAACUGAGUGUAGUACUGAACUCUAUAUAUCCUGUUUCUUCUACACAUAUAAACAUAUGAUAAAGUUUAAUUUAUAAAUGGUAUGAAUAAGAAAUUAACAAUAACUAAUAAUAAAACAGAACAAUAAUAACACACUAUAAUAAAAGCUAUGUGAAUAUGGUAUCUCAAGCAAAUGUUUUAUUGUGCUGUAGUUUCCUUUUUCUUGCAGUGAUAAGAGAUGAUAUAACUUGUGUGAUGAGAUAAAGUGCAUGACAUAGGAACUGCUAGGUAGAAUUAGGCUAUUGCAUAAAGGUUACUUGAAUUGUUACCUAGACAGUCAACAUGAUAAUUGAAACGUUGUUAAAUGGCUAAUGGGUCAAGGAAUAUAUUCAGUGUGGAUACACUGUUCAAAGGGAUGAUUUGAAUCCCAAGCUAGAGAGUGAGAUUUUCAUCAUGGCACUUGCACAGCAUGCACUUUAAAACUAAUGAACUGUCUAUUUCUGGAAUUUGUAUUUAAUAUUUUUAGGUCAAAACUGACUCAAGUAACUGAAACUAUAGAAAGCAAAACCUCAGGUAAGGGAGGAUUACUGUAAAUGGUCUGUAUUUUUUAAAGUGCUAUUAUAUAAUGAUAUUGAUAAAUUGUAAAGAGACAAAGAAAUGUAUGUUUAUAGCUAUUAAUAUUUAUAUAAUACAUGAGGAUGAAUAAAAGGUCAUUAGUGAAUCCCUACAACGGAGGUAUCAUGGGAAGAUGCAUAAGAAUGGGAGUGAAGACUUUCAAAGAGUAAUUUUUAUGUUGUUAAUUCUAUAAACUUUAUUUUUUACCUAUUAAAAAAGUAAAUUUAAAAACUAAAGUAAGUGUUAACAGACACUGCUUAUAGUCACUCUCCAAUGCCAGCACUGCCACUAGCCCCUGUUUAGGAGGAGACUGGGGUAAUUAAGGAGGUCUUCCUACUGUGGCACCUAAAAAGCAGAAUGCUGGCAAAUCCAAUGGAGCAAAGCACCUAGGAAACAACUGGCUACAAAAGCUUCUUUCAAGGUGCGCCUUCUACUGGAGGGGUAAAGAAAGCUCAUUAUUACAGGCCUGGUAUUGUAGCAUUUGGUGAAAUCAGAUGUUAUCAGGAGUCCACUGAAUUUGUGAUUCACAAACUCCCCUUCCAACGUCUGAUGGGAAACUGCUCAAGACUUCAGAACAGAUCUGUGCUUCCAGAGCUCAGCUGUUGGUACUUUGCAGGCAGCAACUGAGAUUUUUCUGGUUGUCCUUUAUUUAUUUUUGGUGAGGGGAAAUGCAACUUCAUUUUUUUAUUUGUUCUUUUUAGUUAUAUAUAACAGUAAAGUCUAUUUUGACAUAUUUAUACAAACAUAGAGUAUAUCUUAUUCUGAGUAGGAUCCCAGUCUUGUGGCUGUACAUGAUGUGGAGAUUCACUGUGGUGCAUUCAUACACAUAAAUAGGAAAUUUAUGUCAGAUUCAUUCCACUGUCUUGUCUUUUCUAUCACUCCUUCCUUCCUUUAAUUCCUCUUUGUUUAAUCCAAUGAAUGUCUAUUCUUGCCCUCCUACCCCUGAUGUGUGUUAGCAUCCACAUAUCAGAACAAACUUUAGAUCUCCAGUUUUUUGGGAUUAGCUUAUUUCACUCAGCCUGAGAGACUCCCUCCAGUUGCAUCCAUUUACCAGAAAAUGUUAUAAAGUCACUAUUUUUUAACAGCUGAGUAAAAUUUCACUGUGUAUAUAUAUAUAUACCUCAUUUUCCUUAUCCAUUUAUCUGUUGAAGAGCACCUACAUUAGUUCCAUAGUUUAGCUAUUCUUAGUUGAGCUGCUAUAAACAUUGAUGUGGCUGUGUCACUGUAGUAUGCUGACUUUUAAGACCUUUGGAUAUAACUGAGUUGGGUCAAAUGGUGGUUCCAUUUCAAGUAUUCUGAGGAAUCUUCAUACUGCUUUCCACAGUGGUUGCACCAAUUUGCAGUGCCUCCAGCAGUGUAUGAGUGUACCUUUUUCUCAACAUCCUCACCAACAUUUACUGUUGCUUGUAUUCUUGAUAAUUGCCAUUCUGACUGGAGUCAGGUGAAAUCUCAGUGUAGUUUUAAUUUACAUUUCUCUAAUUGUUAGAGAUAUUGAACAUUUUUUUAUAUAUUUGUUGACCAUUCAUACUUAUUCUUCUGUGAAGUGUCUGUUCACUUCGUUUGCCCAUUUACUGACUAAGUUAUUUGGGUUUUUGGUUAAGUUUUUUGAGAUGGUUAUAUAUUUAGGAGAUUAAUGCUCUAUCUGCGGUGCAGAUUCCAAAGAUGUCUUCCCAUUCUGCAGGCUUUCUCUUCUGGCUGUUGAUUGCUUCCUUUGCUUUUUAGUUUGAUAGCAUCCCAUUUAUUGAUUCUUGAUUUUACUUCUUGCCCUUUGUUGAGGAAGUCAGUUCCUAAGCUGACAUGUUGGAGAGUUGGGCCUUGUUUUUUUGUUUUUUGGGUUUUUUGUUGUUGUUGUUGUUUUGUUUUGUUUUUAGUAGGCACAGAGCCUCUGGUCUAAUGCCUAAGUCCUUAAUCCACUUUGAGUUGAGUUUUGUGCAGGUGAGAGAAAGGAGUUAACUUUCAUUCUGCUACAUAUGGAUUUCCAGUUUUCCCAGCACCAUUUGUUGAAUAGGCUAUCUUUUCUCCUAUGUAUAUUUACGGUGCCUUUGCUUCUUAUGAGGUAACUGUAUUUAUGUGGAUUUCCUCUGUGUCUUCUUGUCUGUUCCAUUGGGCUUCAUGUCUGGUUUUGUGCCAAUAUCAUGUCAUUUUUGUUACUAUAGCUCUGUAGUAUAAUAUAAGGUUUGGUAUUGUGAUGCUUCCUGCUUCACUUUUCUCACUAAGGAUUGCUUUGGCUAUUCUGGGCCUCUUAUUUUUCCAGAUGAAUUUCAUGUUUGCCUUUUCUAUUUCUAUGAAGAAUGUCAUUGGAAUUUUAACAAGAAUUGCAUUAAAUCUAUACAGUGCUUUUGGUAUUAUGGCCAUUUUGCCAAUAUUAAUUCUGCUUUUCCACAGACAUGGGACAUCUUUCUAUCUUCUAAGGUUUGCUUCAAUUUAUUUCUUUAGUAUUUUGUAGUUUUCUUGUAGAUUGAUUCCCAGGUUUCCUUCUUUCUUUAUUGUUUUUUUUGUUUUUGUUUUCUCUUUUUAGGCUGUUGUGAAUAAAUGGGAUUGUUUUACUAAUUUCUCUUUCAGCUGAUUCAUCAUUGGUGAAUAGAAAUGCAAUUGACUUAUGGGUGUUAAUUUUAUAUUCUCUUAUUUUGCUGAGUACAUUUGUGAGUUCUAGAAGUUUUCUGGUAGAGAUUUUGCAGAAAAAUCAUUUGAUACAAUACAGCAUCCAUACUCACUCAUAACACUAGAAAAACUAUGGAGAGUAGAAACAUACCUCAACAUUUUAAAAGCUAUAUAUGUUAAACCCAAGACCAAUGUAAUUCUGAAUAGAGAAAACCUGAAAGCAUUCCCUCUAAAAACUGGAAGCAGACAGGGAUGCCUUCUUUCACCACUUCUAUUUAACACUGUCCUUGAAACUCUAUUCAGAGCAAUUUGGCAAAAGAAAGAAAUUUAAGGGAUACAAAUAGGAAAAGUAGAGCACAAACUAUUCCUAUUUACCAAUGAGAUGUUUGACCUUUUUGAAGACACUAAAAUAUGUGCUAUCCAUACCAAAUGUGUGACAAUUAUGCCAAAAGACAUCCAACUAGCAAACUUCAUAUGUGGAUAACUUGCUUAAGAAUCCACUAUGAUGGUAAACAUUUCAUUCUCAAAAAAAUUAUAUUCUCUUCUUCUUGUUACUGAUAGUUUUGAAUGUUAAGAUACUCCCCCCCCCCCAUCGGGUCAAAAGGUACCUAGGUAUAUGACUGUGUGUGUGGAAAAAUAGUGAAAAGAAAUCAAGUAUUAGCUAUUUUUCCAUUUUGAUUUGUGUAUGAAUUUUUAAUAUAAAUGUGGAAUAUAAAGAAGUAAUGCAAGUCAAAAUGUUUCAGCAAACAAGUUUUACCAGUUCAACUUUAUAAUAAUUAUAAAUAAAACUGUUAAAUUUUUCUGGACAAUGCCAGCAUUUGGAUUUUUUAAACAAGGAAAUUUCUUAUUUAUAGCAAAAUAAGCAAAUACAUGUGUUUCCACUGGACUUAAAUUUUCAAAAUAGCAGAACUAUGCCAUUUCUCCUCCUCUUUUCAAAGUCAUCUAAAACAAGAACAAAAACAAGACACUAAUUCCAUCUACAAAGAGACCAGUAAGCUAACAUAAUAUUGAUCUUUAAUAUGUGAAAAUAUACUGGGAACAAUGGUAAAUUCUUAGGGAAAUGGAGGAGGUCAAGACUCAGAACAAAAGCAAAGAGAAGCAAUUCACCAUGUGCCUGAAACUUUCAGGAAGUUAAAUUAUAAGGUAGGCAAGGUGUGAGCUGAGAAUCUGUCUAAAUGGGUCUUCAUACUCCCAUGUCCCUGUCACAUCUUCCAGAGUUAGGCCACCAUCUGUACCAUCACCCAAGGGAGAGAGAGAGAGAAUUGUAACAAAAGUAUAGCUGAAGAGGGUUCAGAGUCAGAAAAGGCUGGGGGUGAAAUCUGUAUCCUAAAUUACAAGACCUCACCCUCCAUGCACUCUGUCUUCAACUAGCUCCCACACUGCAGUUCCUAGGAGUACACCCACAAACAAAGGAUCAGUGGAUCUAUGUGUGGAAGAACUAAACAACUCAGAGAAAAACAUUAGGGAUAUAGUCAUGUGUGAAGUUUGUUUUAUACUGCUCUACUAUGAAAGUUACAAACCAACAAACAGAGCUUUCAGUCACUGUUUUAUGAACUCAUUUUGAAAUAUAAAUCUGUGGCCAAAAGUCAACACAUCUGAUGAGAAUCUCUAUCAGACAAGUAAGGGAGCACAGCAAAUAAAAAAAAAGACACAAUGAAUGGGAAAAAAAGAUAACUUCAAAAAAACAUAAAUAAUCUCCUGAAAGAGUUGGCAGGGACAACAUCAAAAUAUUAUAAAAAUAAAAUGUAACAUUUAGAAUUAAGAAAGUAUUAAAAAGUAUUUUCCUUAACUUUUAAAGAUAUAAUUACUGAAACAAAAAUGUUACUUCAAAAUGCAAACAAUAAAUUAAGGAUAUUAUCCAGAAAGUAGGAGAAAAAGACAAAAAAAGUUGAAAGAGAAUAAAUGAUAAAAAAUUAGAUCAAUUCAAGAAGCUCAACAUCUGAUUCAUACGAUUUCAAAUUAGAGAAGAAAAAAAUGAAAGUAGGAACAUACCACAAAAAUAAUACAAGAAAAAGAAAAAUCAGGAUUAGUCUCCAGAUUAAAAGGUUUACACAGUGCCCUGCAAAAUGAAUUUUUUCAAGUUCCACCCAAGACAAAUGAAACUUCAGAACAUCAGUGAUAAAGAAAUGACCCUAGAAACUUUCAGAGAGAAAACAAACAAACAAAAAUAGAUCUCAAAAGGGAAUUCUUUAAAAACAACAGUAUGUAAAUAAAUAACAAUAAAGAUAUGCCUUCAAAAGAGUGAAAGUGACUAAAACUAUAUUCAUCAAGACUACUACUGAGCUGUUAGCUUUAUAUCAAGGCAUUUUCAGGCUGGUAAAGACUCAAAAAUAUUACUCAUGAUUCCCUAGCAAAGUACACCAUCAAGAGAGAAAGAAAUCAUAACACCCAGGAAGCAGGGUAUUCAAUAUAUGUGAGAGGCAANUCUUGAUUGUUUCCUUUGCUUUUUAGUUUGAUAGCAUCCCAUUUAUUGAUUCUUGAUUUUACUUCUUGCCCUUUGUUGAGGAAGUCAGUUCCUAAGCUGAUAUGUUGGAGAGUUGGGCCUUGUUUUUUAUUUUUGUUUUUGUUUUUGUUUUUGUUUUUUUUCUUUUUUAGUAGGCACAGAGUCUCUGGUCUAAUGCCUAAGUCCUUAAUCCACUUUGAGUUGAGUUUUGUGCAGGUGAGAGAAAGGAGUUAACUUUCAUUCUGCUACAUAUGGAUUUCCAGUUUUCCGAGCACCAUUUGUUGAAUAGGCUAUCUUUUCUCCUAUCUAUAUUUAUGGUGCCUUUGCUUCUUAUGAGGGAACUGUAUUUAUGUGGAUUUCCUCUGUGUCUUCUUGUGUGUUCCAUUAGGCUUCAUGUCUGGUUUUGUGCCAAUAACAUGUCAUUUUUGUUACUAUAUCUCUGUAGUAUAAUUUAAGGUUUGGUAUUGUGAUGCUUCCUGCUUCACUUUUCUCACUAAGGAUUGCUUUGGCUAUUCUGGGCCUCUUAUUUUUCCAGAUGAAUUUCAUGUUUGCCUUUUCUAUUUCUAUGAAGAAUGUCAUUGGAAUUUUAACAAGAAUUUCAUUAAAUCUAUACAGUGCUUUUGGUAGUAUGGCCAUUUUGACAAUAUUAAUUCUGCUUUUCCACAGACAUGGGACAUCUUUCUAUCUUCUAAGGUUUGCUUCAAUUUCUUUCUUUAGUAUUUUGUAGUUUUCUUGUAGGGGUCCUUCACCUCUUAGAUUGAUUCCCAGGUUUCCUUCUUUCUUUAUUGUUUUUUGUUUUUGUUUUCUCUUUUUAGGCUGCUGUAAAUGAAUGGGAUUGUUUUACUAAUUUCUCUUUCAGCUGAUUCAUCAUUGGUGAAAAGAAAUGCAAUUGAUUUAUGGGUGUUAAUUUUAUAUUCUCUUAUUUUGCUGAGUACAUUUAUGAGUUCUAGAAGUUUUCUGGUAGAGAUUUUGCAGAAAAAUCAUUUUAUAAAAUACAGCAUCCAUACUCAUUCAUAACACUAGAAAAACUAUGGAGAGUAGAAACAUACCUCAACAUUUUAAAAGGUAUAUAUCAUUCUGAAUAGAGAAAAACUGAAAGCAUUCCCUCUAAAAACUGGAAGCAGACAGGGAUGCCUUCUUUCACCACUUCUGUUUAACACUGUCCUUGAAACUCUAGCCAGAGCAAUUAGGCAAAAAAAAAAAAAAAAAAGAAAUUUAAGGGAUACAAAUAGGAAAAGUGGAGCACAAACUAUUCCUAUUUGCCAAUGAGAUGUUUGACCUUUUUGAAGACACUAAAAUGUGUGCUAUCCAUACCAAAUGUGUGACAAUUAUGCCAAAAAGACAUCCAACUAUCACACUGCAUAUGUGGAUAACUUGCUUAAGAAUCCACUAUGAUGGUAAACAUUUCAUUCUCAAAAAAAAUAUUUUCUCUUCUUCUUGUUACUGAUAGUUUUGAAUGUUAAUAUACCCCAUCCCAUCGGGUCAAAAGGUACCUAGGUAUAUGACUGUGUGUGGAAAAAUAAUGAAAAGAAAUCAAGUAUUAGCUAUUUUUCCAUUUUGAUUUGUGUAUGAAUUUUUAAUAUAAAUGUGGAAUAUAAAGAAGUAAUGCAAGUCAAAAUGUUUCAGCAAACAAGUUUUACCAGUUCAACUUUAUAAUAAUUAUAAAUAAAACUGUUAAAUUUUUCUGGACAAUGCCACCAUUUGGAUAUUUUUAAACAAGGAAAUUUCUUAUUGAUGGCAAAAUAAGCAAAUAUAUGUGUUUCCACUAGACUUAAAUUUUCAAAAUAGCAGAACUAUGCCAUUUCUCCUCCUCUUUUCAAAGUCAUCUAAAACAAGAACAAAAACAAGACACUAAUUCCAUCUACAAAGAGACCAGUAAGCUAACAUAAUAUUGAUCUUUGAUAUGUGAAAAUAUACUGGGAACAAUGGUAAAUUCUUAGGGAAAUGGAGGAGGUCAAGACUCAGAACAAAAGCAAAGAGAAGCAAUUCACCGUGUGCCUGAAACUUUCAGGAAGUUAAAUUAUAAGGUAGGCAAGGUGUGAGCUGAGAAUCUGUCUAAAUGGGUCUUCAUACUCCCAUGUCCCUGUCACAUCUUGCAGAGUUAGGCCACCAUCUGUACCAUCACCCAAGGGAGAGAGAGAGAGAGAGAGAGAGAGAGAGAGAGAGAGAGAGAGAGAGAGAGAGAGAGAGAGAAUUGUAAGAAAAGUAGAGCUGAAGAGGGUUCAGAGUCAGAAAAGGCUGGGGGUGAAAUCUGUAUCCCAAAUUACAAGACAUCACCCUCCAUGCACUCUGUCUUCAACUAGCUCCCACACUGCAGUUCCUAGGAGUACACUCACAAACAAAGGAUCAGUGGAUCUAUGUGUGAAAAAACUAAACAACUCAGAGAAAAACAUUAGGGAUAUAGUCAUGUGUGAAGUUUGUUUUAUACUACUCUACCAUGAAAAUUACUAGCCAACAAACAGAGCUUUCAGUCACUGUUUUAUGAACUCAUUUUGAAAUAUAAAUCUGUGGCCAAAAGUCAACACAUCUUAUGAGAAUCUCUAUCAGAGAAGUAAGGGAGCACAGCAAAUCAAAAGAAAAAAAAAAGACACAAUGAAUUGGAAAAAAAGAUAACUUCAAAAAACCAUAAAUAAUCUCCUGAAAGAGUUGGCAGGGACAACAUCAAAAUAUUAUAAAAAUAAAAUGUAACAUUUAGAAAUAAGAAAGUAUGAAAAAAUAUUGUCCUUACUUUUGAAGAUAUAAUUACUGAAACAAAAAUGUUACUUCAAAAUGCAAGUAAUAAAUUAAGGAUAUUAUUGCUGCAGUCUGGCUGGGCACAAAAUCACGAGCCACACACAGCCUUGUAGAUUCAAACAGCAAUUCUUUAUUCCCGAACUCACACUGGCACUCUACACACGUUCUGGGUCCAAUUCACGUUCUGGGCAAAAUCCCAAAUACUCUCUGAAUCCCGCGAGAACUCAACGGGAACUCAAGGAGCAGGCACGCCUGAGGCAGCAGGAUACUGCCCUAUUCCCAGCAGGGUACACCUUAAACCUGGAACCGCCCUAAACCCGGAUUGUCUUAAACGGGGAACGCCCUAAACCCCGAUCUGCCCUAAACCCGGAUCUGCCCUGGUCAUUGAGCAGGGUCACCUUACAUGCAAUGUCACUGCAAAUGACCUGGGUCAUGCCAUGCGUCAUUCUUACUUAGCAAUGCCCCUCAGCAAUUAUCCAGAAAGUAGAAGAAAAAGACAAAAAAAGUUGAAAGAGAAUAAAUGAUAAAAAAUUAGAUCAAUUCAAAAAGCUCAACAUCUGAUUCAUAUGAUUUCAAAUUAGAAAAGAAAAAAUUGAAAGUAGGAACAUACCACAGAAAUAAUACAAGAAAAAGAAAAAUCAGGAUUAGUCUCCAGAUUAAAAGGUUUACACAGUGCCCUGCAAAAUUAAUUUUUUCAAGUUCCACCCAAGACAAAUGAAACUUCGGAACAUCAGUGAUAAAGAGAUGACCCUAGAAACUUUCAGAGAGAAAUAAAACAAACAAAAAUAGAUCUCAAAAAGGGAAUUCUUUAAAAACAACAGUAUGUAAAUAAAUAACAAUAAAGAAAUGCCUUCAAAAGAGUGAAAAUGACUAAAACUAUAUUCAACAAGACUACUACUGAGCUGUUAGCUUUAUAUCAAGGCAUUUUCAGGCUGGUAAAGACUCAAAAAUAUUACUCAUGAUUCCCUAGCAAAGUACACCAUCAAGAAAGAAAGAAAUCAUAACACCCAGGAAGCAGGGUAUUCAAUAUAUGUGAGAGGCAAAAGGAAUUCCCAGAAAAAAGCAAACAAUUUCAAGGUGAGAACAGCAUGGUGGUAGUCCUGAAGAGAAACCCCUCCAGACAAUUUCAAGAGCAAUGCCAGGAGAGGGGAGGCACCCCCAGACUCCCUGCACAGCUGCCACCUGGAAAGCUAUAUUAAGAAUGUUUCGCCAGUUUCUUGGGAGGGUUGUAAAGAUUUAAUCAAAGGAUUGAAGAAAAUGCAGCAAAUAAAACAGGGCAAUUAUUAACCUCAGGAAAAACAGGUUUCAGAAUAAAGGAAAUAUAAUAAUAAUAUAUUAUGUAGUGGUGAAUGAUAUUUGCAUAGUCAUAUUAAUGGAAUUACAAAAUAUUGUCAUGUGACUUGCUGUCAGUAGGGGAAGAGGGGAAGAUAGGCUGUCAAAAGAACUUUUCAGUUGCAGUAAUAGGAAGUCAUUAGAUAAUACCUAAAAUAUCUUGUGUUUACAGUCUAAUAAAAAAGUUUCUAACUUAUGCUGACACACAACACAGCAAAUGUAUAUUGAUCAAAGCACUCUUUUUUUAUAUUUUAUUUUUUUAUUGGUUAUUCAAAACAUUACAAAGAUUGCAGAAUCACAUCGGUUACACAUCCACAUUUUUACAUAAUGCCAUAAUAGUAACUGUUGUAUUCUGCUACCUUUCCUAUCCUCUACUAUCCCCCCUCCCCUCCCCUCCCAUCUUCUCUCUCUACCCCAUCUACUGUAAUUCAUUUCUCUCCUUAUUUUUUCCCAUUCCCCUCACAACCUCUUAUAUGUAAUUUUGUAUAACAAUGAGGGUCUCCUUCAAUUUCCAUGCAAUUUUCCUUUUCUCUUCCUUUUCCUCCCACCUCAUGACUCUGUUUAAUGUUAAUCUUUUCCUCCUGCUCUUCCUCCCUGCUCUGUUCUUAGUUGCUCUCAUUAUAUCAAAGAAGACAUUUGGCAUUUGUUUUUUAGGGAUUGGCUAGCUUCACUUAGCAUAGUCUGCUCUAAUGCCAUCGAUUUCCCUGCAAAUUCCAUGAUUUUGUCAUUUCUUAGUGCUGCGUAGUACUCCAUUGUGUAUAAAUGCCACAUUUUUUUUUAUCCAUUCAUCUAUUGAGGGGCAUCGGGGUUGGUUCCACAGUCUAGCUAUUGUGAAUUGUGCUGCUAUGAACAUCGAUGUGGCAGUAUCCCUGUAGUACGCUCUUUUAAGGUCUUCAGGGAAAAGUCCAAGAAGGGCAAUAGCUGGGUCAAAUGGUGGUUCCAUUCCCAGCUUUCCCAGGAAUCUCCAUACUGCUUUCCAUACUGGCCGCACCAAUUUGCAGUGCCACCAGCAAUGUACAAGAGUACCCUUUUCCCCACAUCCUCGCCAGCACUUGUUGUUGUUUGACUUCAUAAUGGCUGCCAAUCUUACUGGAGUGAGAUGGUAUCUUAGGGUGAUUUUGAUUUGCAUUUCUCUGACUGCUAGAGAUGGUGAGCAUUUUUUCAUGUACUUGUUGAUUGAUUGUAUGUCCUCCUCUGAGAAAUGUCUGUUCAGGUCUUUGGCCCAUUUGUUGAUUGGGUUAUUUGUUUUCUUAUUGUUUAAUAUUUUGGGUUCUUUGUAUACUCUGGAUAUUAGGGCUCUAUCUGAAGUGUGAAGAGUAAAAAUUUGUUCCCAUGAUGUAGGCUCCCUGUUUACCUCUCUUAUUGUUUCUCUUGCUGAGAAAAAACUUUUUAGUUUGAUUAACUCCCAUUUGUUGAUUCUUGUUAUUAACUGAUCAAAGCACUCUUAAAAGAAAAAAAAAAAAGGUAAGUCAUCUGGACUAUUUGACCUGAUAGAAUUAUUUUCUGGCAAAAGGAAGACAAAAUAUUUCAUUUUUAUACGACUUAAGUCUGGACUUUUUAAUCACAGAUUAUUUUGAUACAAAAUAAUUUCAUGCAUCCAUGUGUCCACUGUUACAUUUAAUCUUCAGGGUACCACAUGAGGGAAGUGGGUAUCAUGUGUAUUUUGCUGAUGAAGAAACAUAUGAAGUGUCUGCUGACUUUCUUGAAAACUAACCAGCAAAUGAGUGUCAAAGCCAUAAGGACAGCUAAUUGUCUAAGGCCCUUCCAGGAUGUGUGCUUUCCUCUGUGUUCUUUCAUGUUAAGUAUGGGACUUGUAAUUACUUACUCAAGGACUUUAAAAUAAUGCUUAUUAGGUAAUAAUAAGAAAUCUCUGGACUUAUCCAUAAUUUGACAAUCUCCAAGAUGUUUCUUGAAGUAGCCAUAAUGAAGAUCAGGAAGAAGUAAUCAGUUUCUUUUUAAAUUUCUUUAUAAGCAACCAUAAGGCUAUAUGCUUUAGCAUAAAUGUUUUCUACACAUUUUAUCUUACCCACAGGAUGUUUUCCUUUAAACUUUUGAAACAAAAGCCAAUGUAUAAAGGAAAAACAGAAUUUAGAGAAGAAAGAAGAGUGGAGUUCUACUGUUCUUCGAGGUCAGAUUUCACAUUAAAUAUUAAAAUUAGUUUCUGCCAGCCCUCACUUAACAGAUCUUCAUAAAAAUAAUUUUACUCCUCAAAUGUCAGAUAAUAAUAUCAGACCCAUAAGUCAGUUCUUGUCUGUUUCAUUCACCAGAGCCCAGCUCAGUAUCUGUACAUGGAAGGAACGAAGCAUGUGUUAGAUCAAUCAAUGAAACAAUAGAACAAGCCCAGAUGACCAAAUAACUUGAGAGCACGCAAAGGAUUUUGUAAUAAAUCAAUGUUUUUGUAGCCAAAGGGACAUUAAUAAUAUUUAGUUUGGAAAACCUACUCAUUCUUUCAUUCAAUAAACAUAUUAAAAUCCUAGCACACCCCGGGCUCUGUGCCAAGGAUGAGUGAGAUGUAACCCACAUUCUCAGCAGUAGGGUCCUUGACCUUCAACCCUGUCACAUAUAUACCAAGGAGUUACAAUCCAUAACACCGGCCUACAACCUCACCUUUCAUGAUAUGCACAUGCUCCUAUCCAACACCCUCCUCCCAGAGGAGCAAUGAUGAGUCUGGAAACAAGCCCACAACUAUGCUGAUGAAGUCCACCAAACUACACCUGCCCAUGAGCACUGAGUAGGUCCCUAACCAAAAUCCCAAUUGGGAUUAUAAUUCUCCAGAGGGUCAGACAAGAAGGGACCAAUUCAUCACCUGCCUACUGACAGGGCAGCUCAUAAAGCCAUCUGUUAUGAUCAUCUCUAAGAGGUCAUUCAGGAUAAAAAUGAAAACCCUUUUUCCUAUUUAAACCACCUGACUGAAGCCCUACUCCAAUAUACCAACUUAGAUCCCAAGUCACCUGAUGGUCAAAACUUACUCAUGAUGUACUUCUCCUAUAGCUUCCCUGACAUUAAAGCCAAACUUAAAAGCUGGAGCAAGGUCCCCUCACCCCACAGCCUCAAGUACUUGAGGAAGCCUUCAAUGGCAGAGAUGGAAAGUCCCGCAAGGUUGAAUAUCAAAUGCUAACCAAAGCAUUUCUGCAAUCUCCCGCUGCUAACACUGACCCUACAACCCACAGAAAACACUCCAGAACAUGGUAUAGGUAUGGUCAGCUGGGCAACUGGGCAAAAUUUUGCUCUAAUUCUCGAAAACCUCCCACUCCCUGUCCUAAAUAUCCCAGGUGGGCCAUUGUUGAUUGCCCUCUUGCCCAGAGAGACAGGAGGUCACACAGCCCCACCUCACCACAGGCAGACCUUCUGGGACUGGCUACAGACAACUAACAGGGUCCAGGAUCCCAGCACCCAAAGACCACCAUCACAGGGACCCAGGGUAACCAUUGUGGUAGCAGGUAGGCUCAUCCUUUUCCUCUUGGACACCUGGGCUAUAUUCUCAGUACUUGUCCAAUUUGGGGGACCCACUUCUACCUCCACAACCUCCACUGUUGGGGUAGAAGGCAAACCAUAUAAACCAUUAUGAACCCCACCUCUCACAUGCUCCAUUCACGAGAUCCCUUUCUCCCACUCUGCCGCAGUCUGGCUGGGCACAAAUGCCGCAGUCUGGCUGGGCACACAAUCACGAGCCACCACACAGCUUGUAGAUUCAAACAGCAACUCUUUAUUCCCGAACUCACACCAGCCGUCUACAAUCACGUUCUGGGGAAAUCCACGUUCUCUUCCCAAAUCCACCUCCACUGGGCUUCUAUCUCCAAAAUAUAUUGUCUGAAUCCCGUGAGAACUCAAGGGGAACUCAGGCAGCAGGAUACUCCCUAUUCCCAGCAGGAAUAAUCUUAAACCUUAAACCUGGAACCUAAACUGGGAAUGCCCUAAACACGAUUAUCUUAAAACCGGGAACACCCUAAUCUGCCUUGGUCCUUGAGCAAGGUCAUCUGCAUUCAAUGUCACUGCAACAUGUCAGCAACAUGGGAUACGCUGGCAAGGAAAUUGUCAUACCUACUUGGCUAAUGGCUCCCAGCACCACUCUUUCCUCAUUAUUCCCCAAGCCCCAUUCCCUUUCUAGGUCAACAUCUCCUAAGUAAAUUCGGCUCUUCCAUUUUUUUCCCAGGAGGGUGUCUCUCCUAGACUCUUCCCACUCCCACUCCUCCUCCUUCUAGCACCUACCACCACCCCCUCAUCAAUAUCUUGGCCCCCAUCCUUGGUCAAUCCCAGUUAUGGGACAUACACAACCCCUCUGUAGCCACACACCAAGAUCCCAUCCUCAUCACACCCAAAAACCCUUCUCUCUUCUCAUCCCAAUCCCAAUACUCCCUACCUCUAAAGAGCCUCAGGAGACUCAGACCCAUCAUUUAUGACCUCCUAGCCAAAGGCCUAUUGCUUUCACUUUGUACAGAUUUCCCUUAUAACACACCCAUUCUCGAUGUCAAGAAACCCUCAGGCACCUUCUGUUUGGCCCAAGACCUCUGCCUCACCAACUCAGCAGUGGUCUUGUACACCUCAUUGCUCCAAGUCCAUGUACUCUCUUGUCCUCCAUCACCACCUGCACAGCACACUAUUUAAUUCUAGACCUUAAGGAUGCCUCCUUCUCUGUUCCUUUGCACAAAGAUUCUCAAGACCCCUUUGCUCUUACCUGGCCUGACCCACACAUCCAGGUGUCCACUGAACUUGCAUGGACAGUCCUUCCUCAGGGCUUUAGAGAUAAUCCCACCUGCCUAUACUUGUCACCAUCAUUCCUCCUCCAAAAUGUGGAUAACCUUCUUCUCUGCAGUCCCUCCCUAUAUCAAAGUAAAACCCACACAGCCAAAUUACUGAACUUCUUGGCCUUGCAAGGAUAUUGUGUCUCCCUCUCUAAGGUUCAGCCCUCUCUUACCGCAGUCAUUGAUUUGGGCUUCCAACUAACCCUGUCCCACAAGGCCAUUACGAUGGAUUGAAAAAAACUCAUUUCUCACCUUCCUGUUCCCACUACCAAGGCUGAAGAUCUCUCAUUCCUGGAAUUAACAGGAUACUUUCGGGCAUGGAUACCCAAUCACUCUUUGAUGGCUCAACCCCUUUAUGUCAGCACAAAGGGCCCCCUCAUGGAGCCCCUCAUCACACCCAUCAACAAUCCCCUCGGCCUCCAACAAGCCUUCCUGCAGGCCUCAGGCCUUCACUUGCCUGAUCCGUCUCACCCCUUUUUUCUGUAUGUAACAGAAAACCAAGGAUUCGUCUGGGAGCUCGAGGCCACCAGGUGGGACCAUCCUGUGCAGCCAUGGCAUUUCUUUUGGAGCGUCUUGACCCAGCAAUAUGGGGACUGGCACCUUACCUCCGGGUACUGGCCUCCUCAGGCAUCCUGAUCCAGGAGUCAAAGAAACUAACAUUUGGGUCACCUCUAACUGUCCUCUCCCCCACCCCUUAACUGGAUUACUCUCCUGUAAAAGUCUUGAGACCCUGCCCCCUUCCCGCAUUCUUUCCCUUCAGAUCUCAAUGAUGGAAGACCCCACUCCAACCUUCAAAACUUGCCCAUCCCUCAACUCUGCUUCCUCCUCCUAGUGACUCCAAUCCACAUCAACCUCUCCAUUCCUGUACAGAGACCUUAGAACAAUUGCUCCCCAUCCCUCCCAUAUUCAGGAAGGACCCUUGCCAACUCCCUCAUAUACCUGGUUCAUGGAUGGGAGUCCCUUUUUACAUAAAGGCCUUAGAAUAGCAGGCCUUCAUGUAAAAAAAAUANGUGUAUGUCUUUUCCAAUCAGAUGUGUCUCCUGGAGGCAGCAUAUUGUUGGAUUUGUUUUUUUAAUCCAUGUUACCAGCCUAUGUCGCUUUAUUGGAGAGUUUAAGCCAUUAAUGUUUAGAGUUACUAUUGAUAUAUGGUUUGUACUUCCAGCCAUGUUUGAUUAUUUCUCUUCUUCUUUUUUUUUUUUUAAUUUAGUUUGUUUCUCCAUGGUUAGCUUUCCCCCCACCCUCUGUCUUUAUAGAGGCACUUCCCACAGUAACAAAAACAGCAUGGUACUGGUACCAAAACAGGAGGGUGGACCAAUGGUACAGAAUAGAGGACACAGAAACCAAUCCACAAAACUACAACUAUCNAACCCAAGCCUUUAUCCUAGCAAAGAGUAUGUCUCUAACAUUUAUACAGAUUCUAAAUAUGCCUUUCAUAUAUUAUUAGCUCACACAAGCAAUAUGGAAAGAACGGGGACCCNNNNNNNNNNNNNNNNNNNNNNNNNNNNNNNNNNNNNNNNNNNNNNNNNNNNNNNNNNNNNNNNNNNNNNNNNNNNNNNNNNNNNNNNNNNNNNNNNNNNNNNNNNNNNNNNNNNNNNNNNNNNNNNNNNNNNNNNNNNNNNNNNNNNNNNNNNNNNNNNNNNNNNNNNNNNNNNNNNNNNNNNNNNNNNNNNNNNNNNNNNNNNNNNNNNNNNNNNNNNNNNNNNNNNNNNNNNNNNNNNNNNNNNNNNNNNNNNNNNNNNNNNNNNNNNNNNNNNNNNNNNNNNNNNNNNNNNNNNNNNNNNNNNNNNNNNNNNNNNNNNNNNNNNNNNNNNNNNNNNNNNNNNNNNNNNNNNNNNNNNNNNNNNNNNNNNNNNNNNNNNNNNNNNNNNNNNNNNNNNNNNNNNNNNNNNNNNNNNNNNNNNNNNNNNNNNNNNNNNNNNNNNNNNNNNNNNNNNNNNNNNNNNNNNNNNNNNNNNNNNNNNNNNNNNNNNNNNNNNNNNNNNNNNNNNNNNNNNNNNNNNNNNNNNNNNNNNNNNNNNNNNNNNNNNNNNNNNNNNNNNNNNNNNNNNNNNNNNNNNNNNNNNNNNNNNNNNNNNAGAGACAGGAUCUGCAUCACCAACUGUUUUACUGGGCCAAAUACAUCCAAACAAGCUUUUCCUAUCAUAAUUUCUAUCUCUGGUUAACUUCUGAUAACUCCAAUACAUGCAACGAAAUGGAUUGGAAGGGAUGUUCCAAAUCAUCCUGCAAUGACCAUUAUAUGGAUAGUAGAUAUGGCUCUUUCCAACAGACUGUUGCUUUCCAACAGACAACCUCCCUCCUUCUCCAAACCUCUAUGAUAGUGUCCUGCCUUUACUUACUUUCAGGAUUGAUGAUCCUUGGGACACAAAAUGGGAAAAAAAAGGAGUAACUGGCUCCAUAGACAUUUAUGUAGGAAACUCAGACCCUCAUGGAUCCAUCCAGAUAAUCUGAACCUAUGACCAAAUACCACACACCCCAUUAGAUAUAGGUCAUUGAUAUUGUAAAGGACAGCUCCCGUGAAAUCUCCCAAAACUUACAAAAGAGACAUCCUCAGACUUCCUAGCUCUAAAUCAUAUAUUAUUCUCUCUCCGUCUUACACCAUAUAGUAAAUCAGUCCCUUUAUAAACAAGAUUGCUUCAUAUGUGGCCCAAUGGAUGAUCAACCUAUAUCAGCCAUUCUCCUAUCCAAUGUGGCCAUACCCAUCAACUCUAGUAUCCCCAUUUUACAAAAAUUCACUGACAGCUGCCCUUUCAUACAGCAGGGCUAAACAGAUCUUGCUGGAACACCCCAACUAACACCCACACCAGCUCCCUUGCUCUCUACACCAUAUCAUUAUGGGGUCAGACUCUUCCAUGAGCCCCCCAGGAACUCACUUCUUAUGCCAAAAUAGUUCCCUCACAAUAUGCAUCAAUACUUCCACCCCAGGCCUUUGUGUCUUGAUUGUCCUUUCUAUCAUCUUAUUCUCUAUACUUCGGCAGAGAUGGCUGUAUUCAUUUUCCCUCCAUCCGUGACAACACAAUCUAAGUGGGCAGUCAUCCUUCCAGUCCUCCUAGGCAUUAGUAACCCUGGGGACAGAAGAGGGAGCUCUUGGACAUAGCCUUAACUUGGCCUCCCAACUUGACCAACUUGGCGAGGAAGUAGUCAGAUCCAUGGACACUUCAACUGAGGCUAUCUGCCUCCUACAAGCUCAGAUCCUGUCCCUGGCAGAAGUCACCCUACAAAACAGGAGGGCAAUAGAACUAAUAAUAGCCGAAAAGGGAGGCACCAGCCUUUUCCUUGGAGAACAAUGUUGUUACUAUGUCAACCAAUCAGGAAAAGUGGAACAAAACAUAGAAACCUUACAGAAUCUAACAGCUAUGCUCAAACUCAAGUUCUCUGGCCACUCCCUGCUUCCUCUCUCACCAGCCGAGGGAACCCAUCCUUCCUUGGGGUUUACCCCUUCUGGGAUCUCUGUCUGCCAUUUCUCUGCCUGACUUUUUUAUUAUCAUGUGUUUUUAAGUGUUUACAGGAAGCCAUCAUGAAAAGAACUAAGACCUUGACCAACCAAGUGGUCAAUGAGACACUUCUGAGGGAAUAUACUCUCCUGACAGAAGAAACCCCUCUAGGACCUGCCUCUGCCCCUGUUCCUCACCCCCAUGCCAGCAGGAAGUAGCCAAAGAAGAAGAAACCUCCAUGCAUAAACCACCCUAAUCCCCAAUAUUAAAACCAAAAGGAAGCUGUUGGCAUAUGAUUACAGCCAUCCUCCUUUCCCCACCCCCACUUUGUGAAUACUGUUCUUAUCCUCAAGAAACAGAAACUUGCCCGUCCUUGAGAUAGAAACUUGCCAGUCUUUGGUCUUGUUCUGUCCUGGAAAGAUAAAGACUUGCCCAUCUCUGUUCCCAAGAAACAGAAACUUGCCUUUGGCAAAAUCAGGUGAAGCUUGUUAUGCCAAUCACAAGGGCUACACCUGCCCCUAAUGGACAGCCAUGAUUCUGGCCUGUAAAAAGUAACACUCGUGGGAUUUUCUGCUGCUCUCCCUCACUGUCUGCUAAUGUAGCCUUAUCAGGUGCCUAACAAUAAAUCUGUUUUCUGCCUCUGUCCUUGGUGUGUGUGUGAGCACUCCUGAGCCAGUUUUUUUUUUUUUCCAGAAGCAAUGACGUUAUUAUUUGUGAAUGACUUUAUUGAAAAUCCAAAAGUGUCCAAUAAAUAUAUUCCAUAUUUCUUUAUGAACUUUCUUUUUGAAAAGCUUUGUAGUUUGUGUUUUUAGACAAAUGGAACUUGUUUAUUUUAUCAAUUCUCUCAAAUUAUUGGCAUCAAGUUAGUCAUGAUAGCCCUUUAUUAUCCUUUCAAUAAUGUCUGUGGUCAUAUUCCUUCUUUCACUUCUGAUAUUGGUAAUUUGUGUCUUCUGCUUUACAUGUUCAACCUUCAAAAUUCUCUCAAUUGUCUUUAUUUUCUCAAUUGAAUAGGUUUUUUUUUCAAAGAUGUCUUUCUGUUUUAAAUUUCAUUGAUUUCUGCUCUUUAUAAUUUUCUUUCUUCUACUUUGAUAUUAAUUUGCUUUUCAUUUUCUAAACUUUUAAGGAGAAAACUUUGGGUUUUAAGAUCUUUGGGAUUUAAGAUCUUUCUACUGUAAGAAGGCAUUUAAAGAUAUCUGUUCCUCUCUAAGCAUUUUUGGGUACAUCCCAUAAAUUUAGAUACACUGCAUUUUUUAUUCCAAUUCAUUUCAAAACAUUUCUAACCAUUCAUGCAAUCUAUGCUUCAUCUAUAUAUUAUUUAGAGUGUAUUAUUUAAUUCUCAAAUAUGUGGGAUUUUCCAGCUAUCUUUCUGCUACUAAUUUCUUGCUUAAUUCCAUCAUGAUCAAAUAACUUAAUUUAUAUAAUUUUCAUCCUCUUAAACUUUUGACAGUGGUUUUAUGGUAUACAUUAUGGUCUUUUCUAAUGACUAUUCUAGAUUAAUUUGAAAAAUUAUACAUAACAUUCUACUUUGUUAACUACUUCUCCUUUCAGCUCUAUCAGGUUUUGCCUCAUGUAUUUUAAAUCUCUUUUAUUAGUUGUUCAUAUAUUAGAAUUAUGUUGUCUUGAUGAAUUCAUCUUCAUGAUUAGAUAUAAUCCUUCAUUAUCCUUGAUAAUAAUUCUUGCUCUGAAAGCUUUUGUCUAAUAUGAACAUGGCCACUCAGCUUUCUUUUCAUUAGUACUUACAUGAUACAUCUUUGUUCAUCCUGUUACUUUAAACAAUCAUCCUAUUUAUAUGCAAAGUGUGUAACUUUUAUUAAUGUUGCUUUUAACACUUAAAAAUUGAAAAAAUAAUUUUUAUGUAUUUGUAUAUUUAUGAUUCAUGAUUCUCUUUAGCUUUUUGUACAAAUCUAAUAGCAUUUUUCCUUCUGCUUAAAGAACUUUUGUCAUUGUUUAUUUUCAUUCAGGUCUGCUGGCAGUAAAUUCUCUUAGAUAUUGAUGCCUAAAAAAUAAUUUUUAGAGUAAUGUGGAUUGAAUUCUGGCUGCUCUACAACUGAGCUCCUUCCCCACUCCACUUUUUUUUUUUUUUUUUGAGAAAGAGUCAAACUAAGUUGCCCAGAUUGGCCUUGAACUUGAACCACAACUCCAGCCUUGAAAUGUCUUCACCUGCAUUCUUGAAAGAUAUUUUUGUUGGAGGUGGAGUUCAAUAUUUUCAGGAUUUUUUUUUCAGCCCUUUAAAGAUUUUGCUCUAUUAUUACACAGAAUUUUUCAGGUUGCCAUACAAAGCUCCACAGAAAUUUAUCUUCUCACAGUUUGGAGAUGACAAGUUCCAGAUCUAGGUGUUACUAGAGUGAGUUUCUUCUGAGACCUUUCCUUGGCUUGUGAAAGGCCAUCGUCUCCCUGUCUCCACGUGGUCUUCCCUCUGUGUUCCUGGGUUCUAUUCUCCUCCUAUGAGGAGACCAGUCAUAUGGAGUAGGACCCAACCUACUUCAUUUUAACUUAAUUACCUCUAAGGUCUCUAUGCAUUCUGAAGUACUUUUGUUUAGAACUUCAACACAUGAAUUUGGGAGGUAUAUAUUCAGACAUGAGAAUCGUUUUGCAACAAGAAAUGUACUAUGCUUAUCUUUGAGCCUAUGUGUGUAAUGUUUUGUUUGUUUGCUUGUUUGUUUUGUUUUGUUUUGUUUUCCUGUACAGGGAAUUAAAAAUUAAGAUUGGGGUAAUCCAAGAUGGCGGGCCAGAGGGAGGCAGCAUUCUGUGUCACUCUGUGACAUGGGACUCAAGUAGUGAGAAUACUGCUUUUCUGCAAGCAAUAUUCUUAUUCCUUGCGCAGGAAGCAUGGCCACCCUGCCCAUGCAGGGCUCCAGGCCUCAGCCUCUGAGUAGGUCUCCCAACUACUUGCUCAUGCAGGACUAAUGGGUAACUGAGUGGGACCAUUGGCAUCAGCACCUGCCAGAACUUUCGGCCACACACCCAAGCACAAAUCCCAGAUUCAGCUCCCAUGCAGGACACCUGGCUGCUACCCAAUAUGCAGGAACUCUGGCCUCCACUCCCAUGUGGACCCCUAUCUACCAACAUGGAGCUCCCCUGUUGCCUCCAUCUUGGGACUCUGCAGCAGCGAAGAUAGUCCCCUAUGUGCGGUAGCCUGCCUAUACCUGGGAACUUCCCCCAGGCUCUGAAGACAGCUGACAGCCACACGCUGGUAUCUCUGCCCUCAGGAUGGCAGAGCUAGUCUCUGAAUUCAUUGUCCAAUGCCAUCGCCUGGCUCUCCCCACCCAACUGACACCCCAUCGCUGAAAGCAAUCGCCUCCAUCUUGGGUCACCUUCAUCACCACCUUUAGUGGGGGCAACUCCAACGUUGGAACUCAGGCUAGUCAGGUACCAGUUACUAACUCCCCCCUCUCCCCAGCAGUCUCUAACCUGGCACAGUGACUGCCCAACACAAAACAGCUCUUAGCAUGGCAGGUACACAGCACACAAGAGCCCCAGAGGCAAAGGAGUCUUAUUAGAAAGCAGUAAGGGAGAUGGUGAGUGUGAUACAGUUUACAGGCUAACACAGAGACCAGGAACUGGAAGCUGUUCAGGUGAGAUAAAGAGAUAAGACCAGGCACUCACAUCACAUGAGCAGGCCCAAAAUGAGAUCCUUGAGGUGCAAUCUCUCAUUGGGGACUGAGAGGUCCCAUACCCCACUUCCAUGUACCCUCUACCCAGGACCAAUCCUUCCUCCCUGGUUACCUUCACCAUCCUGAAGGCAGAGAUACCAGCUAAGAACAAGUGACCCCACCCAUUGGAUGAGAAGGGAAGCAGGAAAGAUACUGAUCUCCAACAAAAACAAUCCAUGUUUUUUUUCCUUCGAGAUUUUUUUAAAAUCAAGAAUCAAUAAAUGGGAUUGAUUCAAACUAAAGAGCUUCUUUUCAGCAAAUGAAACAAUCUGUGAGGUGAAUAGAGAGCCCACAGAAUGGGAGAAAAUUUUUACCAAUUGCACAUCAAAUAGAGCACUAGUCUCUAGGGUAUAUAAAGAACUCAAAAAGCUAAAUGCCCCCCCCCCAAAAAAAAAAGCCCCAUCAAUAAAUGGUCCAAGGAAUUGAACAGACAUCUCUCAGAAGGAGAUAUACAAUCAAUCAACAAAUAUAUGAAAAAAUGCUCAUCAUCUCUAGCAAUCAGAGAAAUGUAAAUCAAAACUACUCAAGAUUUCAUCUCACUCCUGUCAGAAUGGCAGUUAUUAUGAAGACAAACAAUAGUAAGUGUUAUUGAGGAUGUGGGAAAAAAAGGCACACUCAUACAUUGCUGGUGGGAUUGCAAAUUGGUGCAGCCAAUAUGGAAGCAGUAUGGAGAUGCCUUGGGAAACUGGUAAUGGAACCCAUUUGACCCAGCCAUCCCACUCCUUGGUUUAUACCCAGAGGACUUAAAAACAGCAUACUACAGGGACACAGCCACAUUGAUCAUAAUUAAUGAUUACAGAAGCACAAUUCACAAUAGCUAAACUAUGGAACCAACCUAGAUGCCUAUCAGUAGAUGAAUGGAUAAAGAAAAUUUGGCAUAUAUACACAAUGGAAUAUUACUCAGCAUUAAAAGAGAAUAACAUCAUGACAUUUGCAGGUAAAUGGAUGGAAUUGGAGAAUGUAAUGCUAAGCGAAGUUAGCCAAUCCCCCUCUAAAAAUAAAAAAAUGCUGAAUGUUUUCUCUGAUAUAAUGAGGCUGAUUCAUGGUGGGUUUGGGAGGGGAGCAUGGGAGGAUUAGAGGAAGUCUAGAUAGGCAAAAAAGUGGGAGGGAAAGAGAGGGGCAUGGGGGUAAAAAAGAUGGUGGAAUGUUAUGGUCAUCAUUACCCUAAAUACGUGUAUGAAAACAUGAACGGUGUGAAUAUACUUUGUAUACAACAAAAGAUAUGAAACAUUGUGUUAUAUAUGUAUAAUAUAAGUUGUAAUACAUUCUGCUGUGAUAUUGCAGCACAACUCUUCAUUUCUCUGGUUGUACAAGAUGUAGCAUUGCACUACAUGUGCACUCAUGCAUGUAUCUAGGGUAAUGAUGUCCAUCUCAUUCCACCAUCUUUCCUUCUGUUCCCUCACUUUCCUACCCUUUGCUCAAUCAAAGCUCCUCCAUUUUCCCCAAGCCCCCCUCCAUUAUGGAUCGGUACCCACUUAUCAGAGAGAACAUUCAUGUUUGGGGGGAUUGGCUUACUUCACUUAGCAUGAUAUUCUCUAACUCCAUCCAUUUCAUCUCAGUCAGAAUGGCAGUUAUCAAGAAUACAAACAACAUAGCUAAUCCCAAAGAAACAAAUGCUGAAUGUUUUCUCUGAUAUAAGGUGACUGACUCAUAGUGGAAUAGGGAGGGAGAGCAUGGGAGGAAUAGACAAACUCUAGAUAGGGGAAAGGGGUGGGAGAGGAAGGGAGAGGGCAGAGGGUUAGCAAUUAUGGUGGAAUAUGAUGGGCAUCAUUAUACAAAGUACAUGUAUGAAGACACAAAUUGGUGUGAAUACACUUCAUAAACAACCAGAGAUAUAAAAAAAAUUGUGCUCUCUAUGUGUCAUAUGAAUUGUAAUGCAUUCUGCUGUCAUUUAUUUAAAAAAAUAAAUAAAUAAAAUAAAAAAUGUUUUAAAGCAAAAUUUUCAUGUUCCGAAAAAUUACAAAAAAGGAUAUAAAAUGGGUUAGUUUGAGAUGUUAGUAUUUCUUAAACUGCCUAGUUUAAAAUUACUUCUCCUUUAUGAAGCACAGCUGGGAACAGUUGAAAAAAAAGAAUACAAACAAAAUAAGUGUUGGUGAUGAAGUAGGGAAAAGGCACACUCAUACAUUACUGGUGGGACUGCAGAUUGGAGCAAUCAAUUUGGAAAGCAGUAUGGAGAUUCUUUGGAAAAUUUGGAAUGGAACUACCAUUUAACCUAGCUAUUCCACUCCUUAGUCUACACUCAAGGCCAUUACCCCAUCAGGGGAAAAACCCAGGAUUAGCAGAGCUAGAAAGGCCAGGGUUGGGCACUGUUCUUAUGCAGAACUAAGCUAUGUCCUGUAAGUCCUGGGCUUGGAUCAUCCUGAACAGGUCUCUCAUUUACAUUUGGAGGUCAAGGGAGACUUGAGACACUGUCUGGUGCUCACAUGGAAUCCAAGGCCUCCACCUGCACCUUCUCCUGUCCUAACAAAAAUUGCUGCCACAUUUCCAACCUUCCCCUGUCAGGAGUGCUAUCGCUCCACCAAAUGUCAUUGAUUUAGGGCACCAGUAUUUAAAACACACCUCUGCUUCAGUCCUCCCUUCCUCAGCCCCAGUUCCUCCUUCCACUGCAUCAUAAUGGGGACCCCAAGUGUCCUUCCUGCACACACUCUUCCUGACUGAUGAUGGGUUCCCUUCUAGGAGGUCAGCUCCUAUCCCAGCGCUCAGCACAGCACCCACUGCGCCCCAGCCCGCCUCUUCUGCUCUGCCUAUUGGAAGUGUCCUUGUGCUCCCAGGCUCCCUCUUCUCCAGGAAGGCUUCUCCCACUCCAGUUGACAGAGACCUGUCAUCCUCUUGCCCUUGAAUGCAUUGCCUAUGGCUUAGUUUUCUGUUGUUCAGAAUGGUUCAAACUGUGACCAUCACAUUGUUCAUGAUGAAUCAUAUAAUUUGAUCUGUUAAUUAAAAAUAAAUACUGUACUUAACAACCAAUAAGAAUAGAUGGCAGCUGUCAGGCUUAAGUGACAGUCUUCAGAGGCCCCCUGCGGUGCCAAAACUCUUUAGCUCCUGGACUGUGGGGAGGCCCAGAGAAUCCCAGGGAAGGGGCUGUGCAGCUGGAAGGGCCCUGUAUGCACCCAAACAGAGGGACACUGGCAGAUUAGGACAGGUAAUAGCUGUCAACAACAAGUUUGCCCAUCUUGGUGAAUACCAACUUAGUAUAAAUCCUGCCAAUUACCAGAAAUAAUUUAAAAUAAGAUUUAAUCUUACUAAACCAUUUUUAAAAGGAAAAAACCAGAAAUUGAUUUCUAAAUUGUAGGUUCCAGGGCAGAUGGGGUCCUCAAAAGACCCUAUUUCAAUAAGCCUAGUCAAUUAUUUUCAUUUACAAACUCCCAGGACAAAGAAAUCCACACUUUAUCAAGCUCUCAGAGAGAUUUUGAUGUAAAUUGGAAAUUUAAAAACCAUGGCCUUGCCACUUAGCUUCCUGCCCCAUUUGUAAACACUUUCAAGGCAGGAUUUGUUUCCUAAUGCUUUGAAGGUGCCCCAUGCAGAGCACAUAAUUUGAAAUUUCAGGGUCAGGUGCUGGGGCUUAGUGGACAUCCUGUCUCCAUGCUCAUUCAAAAGGGUCUGAUUGCCACCCCCAAUUUAAAAAUACAUAUUUAUAUAUGAAUAUAUAUAUAUAUAUAUAUAUAUAUAUAUAUAUAUACACAUUUAUAUGUAUAUGUUUUAUGCAGAAAUACAUACACAAAAUCUAAAAUUGAGAUACAAUUUCUGUGGAAAAAAGUACUUAUUACCUGGAAUGCAUUUUAAUGUUUAGUUUUCUGUUCUAUUCUGAAGGAAGGAAGAUUGGGUAGGGCCAAUAAAGUUGAACCCACAAUCCAAUGAGUCAUAUCUCACAGCUUCAGAAACACUGAUCUAGGACUCACAGCCUAGUUUGGAAGUGUCAAGAAGCAGUACAGAAAAUAAAAGGAGGCCAGUAGAGUAGAGGAAGGGGGAGGAGAUAGGGAGGGAAAGGGUAAGGAUGUUGGCCAAAUUAUAGUGUUAUAUUGUGUGCAUGUAUGAAUAUGACAAUGAAUUCCAAUGUUCUGUAUGAUUACAAUAAACAAAUAAAAAGUUUUUUGUUUUUUUUUUUUUUUUUAAAGAAGCAGCACAGUGAUGUGGCUAAAAAUACAGACCUUGGGAGAAAGCUGCCAAAUUCAAGUCCCUGUUCUCCCACUUAACUAUCUUUGUGAAUUUGGGCAAGAGUUAUGCUUUCUAUACCUCGAUUUCUUUUCAUACACAAUAGAAUAAUAAGAAUAAGUUUCUCCUCCAGCUGGUGUGAGAAUUAGGUGAGGUAAUAUAUAAGUUCAGAAAAUUUCCAGGUAUCUAGUAAGAGCCUUCAAAGCAUUAGCUGCCGCCUCCUCCUUCUUCUUCAUCACCACCAUCAAUGUUGAUCCUCCAGUUAUCCUUUCCUAAAACAAGGCUAAAUUGCAAUACCACUGGUGGAAAAAACAAAAGGCAAUAUCAAAGAGUUUAUUUGCAAAGCUGUACAAAAUUCCACAGUGUGCAGGGCAGGGUGUAGCAAUGCCCUGGGCCCCCGGUCAGGCAGACUGCCCUCCUGCUCCUGUUUGCAGGGGAGGAGUGGGAGGGGCUUCUGGUUCCAGCCAUGGUGCUGGUCCUGGAGAACAUGACUUCUGGUAUUGAAUGGCUCCUUCUGCCUUCCACUAGCAAACACUUUAUUUUCUUGCUCACAUUUUGUGAUUCUCUGAGAAUCCCAAAGCUCCCAGUGUGAGAAGGGCUUCUGCCAGGCUCUGACUGUUGAGGUUCCCCCAGAAUUUCUAUGUUGAAACCUACCCCCCAUGCAAUAAUAUUAAGAGGUAGGACCUUCAGGAGGUGAUGAGCUCAUGAGGGCUUCACCCUCAUUUUACCCUUUUGCCAUAUGAGGAGUGAGUGGAGAGAAGCUUUGACCAGAUGAUCUUGGACCUCCCAGACUCCAGAAGUGUGAGCAAUAAAUUUCUUUCCUUUAUAAAUGACCCAGACUAAGGUAUUUUGUUAUAUUAGCCUAACAGAUUAUGACAGCUUCUUUCUUACAAUGAAUCCUGGGGACCAUAUUAGAAUGUUAGUCCAUAGAAAGGAAGAUUGGGUUUCUUUUCUUAUCAAUUCAUUACACUCAAUCCAGUAAGGAACAACCCACAGGGAGGGUUUAAAAGAAGGGAAAAGCAAACCUUUCAAUUAUGCCAAAGUCCAGCAUAAUUUAACCAACCUCUCCCAGCAGCACCUCAGAUACAUGGAUGGCAAAAAUAAGAGACACCUGCUAUUAGAUGGGAGGCGGAUAAAUUUCUAGAAUUUUCUACCAGUCACCCAAAAAACAUAUUCAGGAAAUAAAGAACUGGAAACUUGUAGUAAAUGUUUCAUUGGUCAUGAUGAUCUAAAAAUGAUGGUUAACACACACACACACACACACACACACACACACACACACACCUCAUUCCUCCUGCUGCUAGGCAGAGUGACAUGUCUGCCUUGCACUGCUCUAGCUGGGCUUCUUAUCCUGUGGGCCCUGCAGUCAUGGUCCCUCAGGACUCUGCCCAUCAUUCACCCUGAACUUCCACUGUCCCUGGUUCUCAUCUUCCCUCAACACGGUGCCUGGAGGCUGCUCUUUCAGGCAGAGCUGUGAAAAUUGGAGGCCUUGGUCGGCUGAGUCUGCAGUGGGUAGCGUUGCAAUGUCCAUGCCUUCUCCUUUCCAAACUCUCCUUCUCUCCCCUCUCCCACCCCAUCAUUGUUCCACAGAAACAAAUAGGAUGGCUUCACUGGUCAAUUAUUUACAUGUACAAACACCAAAAGCAGAGGAAACGCCCCUGGGCCACCCACCUCUUUCCAAACCCAGCACUGGGAGAGCAGUCAGCGGGCGAGGCUGCUGGAACUGCGAGCUGUGAGACUGUCCAGCUGUCCUGGAAACUUCUUUGGCCUCUGGGCUUUACCUGGAGGCCUCUUCCUUCAGCUCCUUGUUUUUCCACACCUCUUCCACAUGCUUGUCCUGGGAAGAAAGAGAGGGACAGGGCAGGUCACACAGGCUUCCCAGGCCGAAAGGAAGGCAGAGGGGCGAGAGAAGGGCAGCACAGGAUGGCCAUCAGGAACAGCGGAGCAGUGUCAGCCAAGGCAUCCUGGGAGGGGCAGAAGGUGGCAGGUGAGUGAGCCCAAGGACAGGUGGGUCCCAGCCUCCCACAGGCCCCCCGGCCUCUUUCCCUCUCCUCUGGCUAGUGUGACAGCUGGACUGGUGGCUUGGCUUGACUUACUAUAGGGAGCUGCUGGGGUAGCUUGUGCGGGAGGAGCCCCUAGGAGAGCAGCCCCACCGCAAGCCCUGCCUACAAGUCACCAGCCUGCGCCAUCUUCCUGAAUUCCUGGUCUGCCCCCCUUAUCGCUUAUUGCUCACCCCCCUCCACCUCCUUCACCUGCUUUCUUAUGGUAAGAGAGCCUUCAUUUGUAAUCCAGCCCAAGGGUAGGCCCGCCAGCUGCAUGGCCAGCUGCAUAGCNGAUUUUCCAGCUAUAUUUCUGCUAAUAAUUUCUUGCUUAAUUCCAUCAUGAUCAAAGAACUUAAUUUAUAUGAUUUUCAUCCUCUUAAACUUUUGACAGUGGUUUUAUGGUCUACAUUAUGGUCUUUUCUAAUGAAUAUUCUAUAUUAAUUUGAAAAUUUAUACAUAACAUUCUACUUUGUUAACUACUUCUCCUUUCAGUUCUAUCAGGUUUUGUCUCAUGUAUUUUAAAUCUCUAUUAGUAGUUGUUCAUAUAUUAGAAUUAUGUUGUCUUGAUAAAUUCAUCUUCAUGAUUAGAUAUAAUCCUUCAUUAUCCUUGAUAAUAAUUCUUGCUCUGAAAUCUUUUGUCUAAUAUGAACGUGGCCACUUCAGCUUUCUUUUGAUUAGUGGUUACAUGAUACAUCUUUGUUCAUCCUGUUACUUUAAACAAUCAUCC
rnacentral:lncRNA from 1 species